GAGUCGAGCAAUAUAGAUUUCUAGGAAAUGUAAAGUAUACGCAGUCCAUACCACUACCUUCGAAGAAGUAGAGAGGUUGUUUGUGAUAUACUCCCAGCUAAGGACUCAAUUUUCAUGAGUAUAUAUGUAGUAUAAUUUCUAGCAAUGUUGCUCGAACUCUUUGAAAAUAUCGAUAGGUGUAUGUCAGAUACUUUAAAAGUAUUACAAGUAUGGAGUAUUCGAUACAAAUGCGGCAAUAUUUUUGAAGAAUUGUCUAAGAAAUAUAGAUUUCUGGGGAAGGAAAGUGUAAGCAGUCCAUACCACUACCUUCGAAGAAGUAGAGAGACUAUUCCGAUAGACCCCUCGGUUUAGGAAUAUAGAUUUUUUGGGAGGGUAAAGUAUCAGCAGUCCAUACCACUACCUCCGAAGAAGUAGAGAGGAUGUUUCCGAUAGACCCCCGCUCAAGACUCAAUUUUCAAGAGUACGUAGUAUGAUUUCUGGCUAUGUUGCUCGGACUUUUCAAAUAUAUCGAUGGAUGUAUGUCAGAUACUCCAAAGUAGUACAUAAAUGGAGAAUCCAAUACAGGUCCAGCAGUAUUUUUGAAGAGUUGUCUAAGCAUUGAUAUAGAUUUCUGGGGAGGGUAAAGUGUACAUAAUCCAUACUACUACCUCCAAAGAAGUAGAGAGGUUGUCUCCGAUAGACCCCUGAUCAAGAUCCAAUUUUCAUGAGUAUGUAUGUAGUAUAAUUUCUGGCUAUGUUGCUCAGAUUCUCUUAAAUUUCCACGGGUGUGUGUAUGAUACUCCAAAACAGUGGAUUUUUGAAGUAUCUGAUACAAUGCAAUAAUAUUUUUGAAGAAUCGCCCGAGCAAUAUUGUUUUUUGGUCCCUCAAUUAUCAAUGAAUUCUAAAUUUUGUGGUUGUAGUAGUUAGUUAAGUACAUCUAACCUUCAAUUAAUUCACUAAAAAGAAAGAGUAAUUUCGUCGAAAAUGUUUCAGAUAAAUUUUCCAUCGGAAAUACCUUAAAGAACGAGUCAAUUUUUGACGUAAUGGCCGUUGAAAAUUCACGUUUUUAUUGUAGGAAUUAAACUGCAUGAUUUUGAUCCCUUUAUAUAGAAAAUAUAUGAUGCUUAGACUAUUUACAAAAAAAUAUAUUAUACUCGACUACGAAGAAAUAAUACAAAUUCAACAUAACAUAUACAUAGUUAUUAAAUAAUUUAACACUAAAUAAUUCGUUAAAUUUGUGAAGAUUCAAAAGUAGAUGGAUCAAAAUGUAGAUACCAAUUAAUUGAAGGUUAGAUGAACUUAACUAGAAAUUUUAAGGACAAAUAUUGGAAUCUAUCAAUACACGAGGGACUAAAAGUGCAAAUUUCACUUACAUUAAAGAAUAUUAGUAUUAAUUUUUAUAAAAUUAGAUGAAUUACUUACUAUAAAUCCUUUGAGAUUUAUGAUAGGAUGUGAAAAUUUCUUGUUAUAAUUGAAAAUUGCUUCUGCUAAUUGAGGAACAUAAUGCCCUGCAAAUCCAAAAAAAAUAUUAGCAAAAUUAAUUAAAAAAUAUCACCAAAAUUAAUUAUAGAAUUAGAUUUUUUUUUUUUUCAUUAGAAUACCUGCAUAACUCUCGCCAGCAAUAUAAAAAUCUCUAUAUUUAUAUUGAGGAAAUCUUGACAUCCAUCUGGUGAGGAAUAUUAGUGCGUCCUGAGCUGUGCCAAAAAAAUAAAUAGCUCUAAAAGUUAAAGCUAAUAUGCCAAUGCUAAAAUAUUUAAUAACGUAUUUUAGACUCCUAAAAUUUAAGGCCUCAAAAAAUUUUAGUUGUUAAUUUUAUUUUCUCUUGAUAAUGUUGAAUAUAGUAAUGGAAAAAAAACUAUCAUAAUUCAAUAGAAAUAUUUUGAAAUUUUGAAUUAAACUAUUCAAAUUUUUAUUAUAAUAAAUAAUAUAUUCACAGUAACAUCUAAGGUAAUGUAUUGAAAAUGCAUGGUUAAUGUAUUAUUAACUUGAAUCAAUUCUUAUUAGUAUAAAUAAUAAUAUUAUUAUGUAAAAUAUAAUACUACACUAAAAAUAACAAUCGUGAAAAAAAAAAUAUUAAUAUUUUAUUUAUUUUGUAUAUGUAUGUUUGUAAGGUUUCAGAUUAAAAUAUGAUUUUAGAUCACUAAUUUUAUUGAGAUUUUCUUGAUCUAGAAGGAUUAAUUUAAUAGUUCAAGGGCAAAUAUGAGUCCAUAAUUGAAUGACAAGAGUAAAAUACUUUUUUUUUUUUUUUUUUUUUUUUUUUUUUUUUUUUUUUUCAAUAUCAAACAAUCCUCCACAAAAUUUUGGAUUGUAAUGUAAUAAUUUUUUAUUAAAUUCAAUUUGCAUAAAAAAAUACUUAAAUUAUAGUUAAAAUGUCAGUAAAUUUACAAGACAUGUAAAAAGAGGACUAUUGACUAAAUAGUUGUCCCAAAAAAUAAAUAAUCGGUGUAAAUUUCUUAAGACCUGCUCCUUUUUGUUAUAUUAAUUUUAAGUUUUGUUAUUUUAUUCCUAUUUUUAAAGUUUUGCAAAUAUGCUUUUUGAUCAAUAAAACAUUACACUGUCAUUAAAAGUCUACAAAAUUUAGACCGUCAUCUAAUAUUUUUUAACAAGACUUCAUAUUUGUGCAUAAGAAAUUUUUGGCAGAUUGUAACUAAUAUUUUCUCAGAAGACUUUAUAUUUGUGCAUAAGAAAUUUUUGGUAGAUUAUGUAUCGAUAUCUAUAAUUUAUAAUCUAUAAUUUAUCUAUAAUAUAUUAAAAGUCUGAAAACCCUUAGAAAAGUGAAUCAAACGUUUUGCCCUUCAUUAAAAUCAAACGUUUUGCCCUUCAUUAAAACACUCUGCAAUAGACAAAACUGUCUUUUCACCUAUUUUCUUUCAUUAUUAUAUUAUUAAAUCAAGCACUCCUAAAAUUAUAUGGAAAACCCUGAUAAAAUAAAUAUAUGAAAAGAUUAAGAAUCUUAGACUACAUAAAAUAUAUGAAUCCUAAAAUAUAUGAAAAAAAAUUAACAUUCCUAAAAUAGUAUAUGUAAAGAAUCACAUUAAAUUCUUUUUUUAUCUUUUUCAACGUUUUCUUUUGAUUGCAAAUUUUAAGCUUCUUCGGAUAUAGUGGUAUGGAUUGCGUACAUUCUACCCUCCUCAAACCCCACUAUGUGGGAAUAUACUGGGUUUAUUGUUGUUGUUUAAAUUUACCUUCAAAAUAAGUUCGUUUUUUUUUUAUUGUUGCUGUAAAUUAGGCUUACCAAAAUUGAAAAUCCUUAAACUUCUAAGAUGAUUUUUUCAUAACCUUUUAUUAUUUGUAUUUGCCUUAGUAAAUAAAUCAUUAGUGAUUGAUUCUUUAAUAUGUUUGUGCAGAUGAAAAAAGAUUUAUGUGAAACAUGUGGACAAAACUUCGUAUCGAUUACAAGUGAAUUUAAGUUAUGUUUUUCUAUUCUAAAUUUUAUUUUUUAUUCAUAUUAGUUCUACUUCUGAUUAUAACGUAAUUCAUGUUAAUACUCUUUUAUCAAAAGCAUACUUACAUUACAAAAAAAAAAAACUAUUGAGAUAAAAAUAAAGUGAAAAUUGUGAUUUCUCAUAAUACCAAAUAAAUCAUAGUGUCAAACAAGUAUUAGACAAAGUCAUUAGUUGGCUAGAAGAUAAAAUAUAAUGGUAAUUAGAGAUUUCAUGCAUUAGUAAAUCAAAUUUAUACGUGAAUUCAUUCUUCCAUCAGAGAUAAUUUGAAUUGCUCAUUUUACGUUUUAGUAUCGUCAUCAAGACUCUAAAGUAUAUUUUUCCUUUCAAAGUAUAACAUUAAAUAAUUGAUAUUUCAAUAUAUCAUAUUUUUUUAAUUUUUUGUCCAUAUCUUUAUUUUAUAAUUUAUGAUUAUUUAUCUGGAAUAACAAGAUGCAUGAAAUGGAAUGUGAUUUUACUUGCCUUGACCUGAACAGUAUGAAAAGAGAGAAAUAUGAUAAUUUUUUUUGAAAGGUAAGCUUUUCUUUAUCGAGAAAUUAACCUUACGUAACUUUAAAUGGAUCCAAUUCAUAAAAGUAGAAUUUUAAAGGUGGAUCAAGUAUAUUGUUCGAUAUAAAUGAUAGAAAUUUAUUUCUUUAUAUACACUUACUAUUAUCUUAAUACACACGUGCAAUUGACUAGUAACUUUAAAAGGUCUGUGAACUAUAAGAGAUAUAAAAAGAGGACUAUUUACUUAGACAACUAACUUAAAUAUUGGUCCAUCCACCCUUUAAACUAAAAAUAGCCGAUUGAUAUAUAAUAUAAGUAUAGAGAAAAUGCAUUAUUUUCAUUCUAAACUAUAAACGAAAUUACCGAGACACACUCCAACUUAAAGGGGCUUCCAUUAUCUGUGCUAAUUAAAAUCAUAUUUUUGACAAUCUUAAAGCUUAUGUGGCAUAUACGUGAUACACUGCGUGAAUCAACAUACUGAAGGUUUACGUAGGCACACGUAUGUGCCACGUAGACACUUAAGGAUUGUCAAAAAUAAAAGGGGUAAUAGGACCCCCUUUAAGUUGGGUGUGCCUCAGCAAUUUCGUUUAUAAAUAGUUUUAAACAGUGAAUCUGAUUGAUUAUUUAUGUAAGAAACCCCACUUCUUGUUAUAUAUACCGGCAAUAUAAUUUUUCUUGACUAUCAUUGUUCGUUAUAAUUUAACAUGUUGUAAUAUAUUACUCUUUUUUAAAAAAAAAAAAAUUUAUUGAUCUCAAUUAUCAUUUGAUAGUGUACAAAUUCGUUUAAAAUUAUUAGUGUAUAUAAGUUAAACCUUUUAUAGAUAAAUAUAAAUAAAUAAGUAUAUAUGUACCUGUUCUUUUAUCUCCAGAAUCUUCAAGAUCAGAGCUUGUAUUUGUAUAAGAAAAUCCAACACCAGCAGGAGAUUCCAAGAAGAGUAUAUUUGCCACUGCAUUUAUUAAUAAUUUUUGCAAAUUAUAUUCUUUCAUUUUUUACUGAUAUUUUUCUUUAAAAAUUAUAUUUAAUUUAUAUUGUUUAAAUAAAUAAAAAUAUAUAUAAAAAAUAGUUUUACCUUUAUUCCAAGAAUAUUUGUUUAAAUAAAGAGAAGAACCAUUUUUAUUGAUUCUAAAUGGACCUAUUUCUUCUGAUGCUCCAUAUGCAACUGAUGAACAACCUGGACCUGCAUAUAGAAAAAAAAAAUUCUAUCUAUCUAUCUCUCUCUGUAUAUAUAAAAUUAACCUAAAUAGCAGUUCACCGAUUUAUUUAAAUUAAAUGACAGGUGAAUAUAUAGUUCAACAUAUUAAUUAUCAAAAAAAGAAAAAAUUAUGAAAUUUAUCGCUCAAUAGCCUAUAACUAAUCGUAACAAAGAUAUUUUUUGUUGUUCAGCAAUAGAAGUUGUCUGUCGUUUUUCUUUUUCUUUUCAAUUUUUCAUUUUGGUUUCACAUAUGCAUUUAGUAUUUAUAUUAGGGUUCGAUUAAAUUUUUGGUUCGCGCAUUGCACAAGUAUGUUUCCCGAGGACUGGUAGUGGCCGGUAUGGACUGCAUACAUUUUACUCUUUUCAGAUUUCACUUGGUGGGAAUACACCGGAUACAUUACAGUUGUUGUUAUUGCAUUGCACGAGUCAUUUCUGAAGGCGACUUUGUCAAUAAUUUUUUUAAAAUUCUCAGAGGUUUAAAUACGAUACAACUGAUUAAGAAUAGACGAAUCUCAAUCAUCUUGCCAUGAAUUAUCUUAAUUUUUUUUUUUUCAAGUUAGUUGUAUUUGAACAUGAUUGUAUUUGGAUAGAAAGAUGUGGAAAACACAUGAAUUUCAUAAUUUCUAUACACAAUCAAUUAAUGAAACAAUCCUCCAUAGCUCAUUAUUCACCUACCCAUCCCUUACUAUCAUUUAUUAUUACUACUACUACUUUUUAUUUCUCUUUAUUUUAAAUUUUUCCAACAGUUAGCUUCAUGUUAUUAAUUCACAAGACAAUGACCCUUCACUAUUUUUUUCCGCUCGGUGUUUGGUAUUCGCAUUGAAGUUUUGAUUAAUUUGGAUUGCGUACUACAUGUACUAACGGAAUCAGAUUUUUCAUUGAGGGGGUUCAGAAAUAAACAUACGAACUAGCUGAAGAGAGUUCAACAUCUACGGUGUAUACAUAAAAAAUAUUCUUAACAAUUUAAAAAUUAUAUCAUUUUUCAUCGAAUAGUGUUCGAAUAAACCCGCUGGAUGAAAGGUGGCUUCGCCCCUGACUGUAUGGUCUAUUCUAGAGUUGACGCUCCCAGUAGAAUUUUCUUUAUACUUGGGAUUUAAACUCGAAAUCUCUAAUUAAGGGUAGAAUAAUUCCCCCGCUGCACCACAACUCAUGUUCGUGCCUUCACUUCUUUUUUUUUUUUUUUUUUUAAAAGAAACCUUUUUCUUUUUAUUUAUGGUUCAAUAGUGAUAGCUCACAUAAAAUUCACCAAAAAAUUAAAUUUUCCAGUCAUGUACUUAAUUUCCCUAUCAUCAUGAUGACCAACAUUAUUAAUUUUCUCUUAUUGGUAGGUUUCUGAAUACUCAUGCUCUAUAUUGUUACCAUAUUACAAUUUUUUUUAGAUAUUUAUAUUAAAGAUCAACUAAUUUAAAUUUGUAUAUAUUGCAUAAUCGGUACAGAAAAAAUAUGAAUAUACCUUUGAUCUUUGAAAAAUGAUACAGAUAUAUCCCUCGUUAUAUUUUAGGGACAAUAUACCCUCGCCGUUAAUGAAAAUGUAUAAAUAUACCCUUUUCACUUAUGGAGGGAAACGUAUUGAUUUUCUAUUCGCUAGCUCUUUUUAAUUAAAUUAAUUCCAAAUCCGACCCAAAUUAAUAAAUGUAGAAAAUGUCGGGUUUGGUUUUAAUUUGGGUCGGUGUAGGCUUUAAUUUGGGUCGUAUUUUGGAUUAAUUUAACUGAAUUUAAUUAUAAAAAGCUAGCGAAUAGGAAAUCAACAUGCGUCCCUCCGUUAGCCAAAAGGGUAUUCGUACCUUUUCAUUAAUAGCGAGGGUAUAUUUGUACCUAAAGUAUAACGAGGGGUAUAUUUGUACCAUUUAUUAAGUUCAGGGGUAUAUUCAUACCUUUUUCAUAAUAGGUAUUUAGAGGAAACGUUCCUAGCAUGAUUUUUUUUUAUUCAAAUUCGAACAGAAAACCUUUAACUAAGAUGCAAGCAUUAGUAACAAUGCCAGAUCCAGAAUUUAGGGGCCGUGGGUGCUCGAAAGGUUCGAAUACAUAUAUUGAGUUUCAAAACGUUAAGGUUUUGCCUGAAAACUAAAACACCCAACUAUCAUCUUGACUUACCGAAUGCUUUUCUAAAUUUUUUAUCAAAUUUUAUAUAAUUUUUUAUAUAAUUAUACUUAAUCUGUCUCGAAUUUAAUGAGUGUCAAAACACUAAAGUUUUGGCUAUAGAUCCGCUCCUGAUUAGUUAAACACAUGAUUUAUAGGUCACAAUAUGAUUUUAUUUACACAAUAUGAUUCUUCAGAAAAAUUGUUAUCUCCUUCUUUUCAAUUUUUAUUUUUAUGAUAUAUUUUUCUUUUAGUCAAUUCUAUAAAGAAUAACAUAUUUUUAAAUUUGAAAACAACUCACUUUACACUUCUAAUUUUCACCAUUAAUUUUUAUAACCAGAUACAUAUUAUGAUAUGUUUUAAGGGAACAAGUUUUAGAAAUUCUACCGCUACACAAAUAUUAUGAUCAUGACAUAUCUUAUAUUUAGCCAGUUUCAUUUUACUUAACCUUCUUUGACUUGACACACGUCUCAAGAACCUAAUAACUGAAGAUGUAUUUUAUAAAUAUGUCAACCCUUUACAAAUUCAAACUAUAUGUACAUAAAUUAUUGGCAUAGAGGGUGAUUUUAUUUUCUUACUUUAUUGUAUAAAGAAAGAGAUAAGCAUUUAGUAUUCUCGGAAUUAUGAUCAAAGUUGCUACGACACACUUUAAUUUCAUAGGAGUUCUAUUACCUUCCUCAACUUAAUUUUAGCAUAUUUUUAUCACUUUUUUGUGCUGACAUGACGCAUUUAUUACAUAAAAUAGGACUCACGUCAAAGGUGUCACGUUAGUUAAAAAGAUCAAUAAAAAAUAUCACGUCAACUAUAAACAUUGAUAAAAAUAUAUUAAGAUUUAGUUUAAAAAAAUAAUAACACCUCUGUAAAAGCAUAUCAUAACAAAUUUCACCAUAACUCGAAAUAUUAAAUGCAUAAGAAAAGUUUGGUGAAUGGUAGAAAAUGGAAAGAAAAGUACAAAAUAGAGGGAAAGGAGUUCUACUUUUUUGUUAAAUUUGGAAUGUUGUACUUUGUUUGUUUGUAUCAUAAAAUUGUGGAAAAAAAUACGAAAAAGCAUAGUCCAAAAAUGCAGCUUUUUGUACGCAUACAAACAAGGAAUAAACUUAGAACAAAAAAGGAAUAAAAAGAGUAUGAUGAUAUCACGAGCACUUAUGCAUGAUCUUUCAUUUUCCAACAUUACUUUUUAUUUGGUGAUAUUCGUAUUAGAGUUUCGACUGAUUCAGAUAUAAGUCGUGUAAGAUAUAUUAAAUAAAAAAUAAAUAUAUUUUUCAAUUAUAAUAAAUAAUAUGUAUAUAUUCUUUGUCAUAAUUUGGAUAUAUAUAUAUCUUUAUCGUUAAUGAAAUGGUACGUAAAUGCCUCUCCACACUAACAGUUAAUCGUUUUGGGUAAAAAAAUUAAGACGAAAAAGGAAUAAAUAUAUCCUUGAAUUAUGACAAAUGGUACGUAUAUACUCUCCGUCAUGCUUUUGAUACACAUAUGCCCCUACCGUUAAUGAAAUGGUACGUAUACGUCCCUCGCACUAACGAUUGGGGCAUAUAUGUAUCCAAAGUAUGACGGAAGAUAUAUACAUACCAUUUAUCAUAAUUCGGGGGUUCAUUUAUCCACUUUUUGUUUUAAUACUUUGUAGAAAUAUACUGAUAUGUUGUUAUUGGAUUGUUAAUUAAAGACGAAUUCAAAAUUCACAUUAAUUAAAUUUAAAAGCAAUGUAAUCGACUAUAUAUAUUUAUAUAUAUAGUUUAAAAAUAUUUUUCUUUUACCUAUUAAGUAUUAAUCCAUGUAUUUAUUUCAUAUAUUAUAAUUUCCAUUAUGUUUGAACCUUACUCAUAAGCACAUGUAUCAUGUGCUGUCCUUAUUUCAUUAUCAUUUAAUAAUAAUUAUUGCUUUAAUUUUAGUUUUUGAUUAAAUAUCAGUAUUUUGCAUGGAUAAUAAGAUACUAAUUAAUGGUUUGCUAUUAAGAAAAUCAAGAAAUUCUUGUUUAAUUUUCUUAAAAUACAUAAAAUAACUCAAAUCUAACUCAGAAAAAGUUGUCCAACUUUCCUUAAUUUAUGCAACUGAAAGAGUUCAUAUGCAACAAACAUUUAUUAUUAUUUUUCAAAAUAGUAUUUCCUCCUUUUUAAUUUAUUUUUUUUCUUAUUUUUCAUGUUAACCUGUUUAAAAAAGAAUGUUUGUUUUUAAUUUAGUUAAUUCUUUAAUUGAACAUUCCACGCAUCACAUGUUCAAAAUUAUAAGGUUAAAGAAUAUUUUGGUACACUCUACGCAUCUUUUAGUUUAAAAUCAUAAGAUUCAAAUUCAGUAUAAUAUCAAAAUUAGAUAAAUAAAUUAAAACAGAGAGAGUAUAACUUCUUUCCUCCCUAAAUUCAAAAUUUUAAGUCAAAGUACUAAAGAUAGAGAAGAUGUUAAGAUUCUACCAAUGCUUAAUCCAUUAUGUUUAGGAAGGAUGAAUGAUAGAGAUAAAUUCAGAAUUUAAAUUUUAUAUCAUUGUAUUUUUUAAUUAUAGGGUCAUUGCGAAUUCAGAAUUUAAAGCUUAUGAAUUCGUAAGUAAUUUUUACUUUUUUUAAUUAUCGAAUUCUAAUUUAAACAACAUAGUCUCACAAGGUGAGGUCCGAGCGCAAGAUAAAAUAUAUGCAAACCUUAUCCUACCUACGAAGUUCGAGAAAUUGUUUUCAAAAGACUUCAGGAAACACAAUCUUAAUUCUUGAACACGGUUAGAGAAAUUUCUAAUAAUUAUAGAAUUCAGAAUUUAAAGCUUAUGAGUUCGUAAUUAUAAGGGAAGUCCGGUGCACUAAAGCUCCCGUUAUGCGCAGGAUCCUGAGAAGAGCCCCACCACAAGGGAGUAUUGUAUGCGGUCUUACCUUGCAUUUCUGCCAGAGUUCGUAAUUCUAAUUUUUUUUAAAUUAUUGAAUUCUAAUUUAAACAAUAUAGUCCCACAAGGUGAGGUCCAGGUGCAAAUAAAAUGUAUGCAGACCUUAUCCUACCUCACGGAGGUAAAGAAACUAUUUUCAAAAGACCCCAGAAAACACAAGGUUAAAUCUUGAACACGUUUAACGAAAUUUUUAAUAAUUAAAAAGAAAAUUAGAGUAUACUAACUAACCUCCAUUGAGCCAAAGAACAAGAGGUUUCUUUUGAGGAUGAUUAGUAGCUUCUGUCAACCAAUAAAACAAAGCUCUUCCAUGGCUUUCAUUGACAUUAACAUAGCCAGAAAAUUGUGAAAAUGUAACCAUAGGUUGUCCUGGAAGUGAUGUUAUCUUAUCCAAUUCUUGUUCUUUUGUUGUUGUUAGGGCAACAACAUUAGUACUAAUGGUUAAAGAAAAAAUAGUUAUGCAUAGUAGAAAUUGGAUCAAGAAAAAUGGAUGAUGAUUUGGUUUAGUUUGGGAUGAUGAUGUCAAUGCCAUUGUACUUAUUAGUUGUUGCUCUAUCUUUGAAUAAUAUGUAUGUUACCUAAAGAAGGUAGGAGUAUAUAUACAUAAGACGAGAUGAAGGUUACUACUCCCUCUGUAUCAUUUUAUGUGUCGUUAUUUGGCCAGACACGAAGUUUAAGAAAUAAAUAACGAUUUCAUAAAGUUUACAAAAUAAUGCCUUUUAAAGCCAAUUUGAUAUUUACUUUUUAGUUGUUUUUUCUUAUUAAGUGGGACUCAAUAAGGACAAAAUGAGAAUGAUGUCAUUAGAUUGUUGCUAAAUAAGGAAAGAUGACAUUAUUUUUUUGGGACGAAUCAAAAAGAAAAUAAUGACACAUAAAAUGAGACGAAGGGAAUAGAAGUUUUUGUUUGUUUGGUUUGUUUUGGUUUGUUUAGAGGAUGGGAUUGUGGGAAUUAAUGAGGGGAGGUAUAGAUGUGCUAAUAAUGAGUUAGAUCCACUCAAUAGGCCGUCGGAGGAUCGCUUGAGAAGUUUCACCCAAAAUCUUGCUUGAAGCUCGGGCUCAUCUUCGAAUGGUGGGCUAACACCCAUCGAAAGUUGCAAAACACUCAUAAUUCCUGUCGAUUCGCCCGUUUGACUUUGAAAAUGGCUCCAUCAGCUUUGUCAAAACUUUGUGCCCGGUCAAACUAUGACACAUAAAAUUAAAUGGAACAAAGGGAGCAUAUGUUUUUGUUUGUUUUGUUUGUUUUGGUUUGUUUAGAGGAUGGGGUUGUGGGAAUUAAUGAGGGGAGGUAAAGAUGUGCUAAUAAUGGGUUAGAUUCAUUCACUAGGCCAUCGGGGAUCGUCCGAGAAGUUUUACCCAAAAUCUUGCUUGAAGUCUAGGCUCACCUUCGAGCCGUCGGCUAACACAUACUGAAAAUCAUAAAAAGUUUAUAAUUUUCGCUGUUUCUUCCGUUUGACUUUGAAAAUGGCUUUACUGGUCCCGCCAAAGCAACCAUAUCUACUCAAUAGGUCGUUGGGGAAUCAACCAAGAAGUUUCAUCCAAAAUCUUGCUUGAAGCCUGGGCCUACCCUCGAAUCGUCGGUUAACACGCAUCGAAAGUUGUAAAAAAUGCAUAAUUUUUGUCGUUUCGCCCGCUUGACUUUGAAAAUGCCUCCAUUGGCCCCGUCAAAACAACCAGAUCCACUCAAUAGGCCGCCAAGGAUUGCUCGAGAAGUUUCUCCCAAAAUCUUGUCUAGAGGGUGGAGCACUGGGACCAAAGGCCGGCGGUUGGUUUACGCUCGGAUUACUCCUUUUAUGAUGAUGGUGUUUGGUUCAGUUUGUACAAUGUACGUGACUUGACUAAUUUUGUCGAGUACUUGUUAUCUAUCACCGGGCACCAGAUAGACGUGGAUGUGACAUAUCUGAGAAGUAAGAAAUAUAGUAAACAUCGUAAAGGCAUGUAGCAGGAGUUGCAAACUAAACGAUACACAAUUUCAUUCGAAAGAUAUAACGUUAAAAGUUGUAUUAACGUACGAGCAAAUUUGCAUAUAUCUCUACUAAUUUCACAAAAUAUAUAUUAUUUUCAAUGAUAUAGGUACAUAGUAACUCUUGCUUACUAAAUCUUUGACAAAUGGGACAAAAUCAUUUUUAUAUGACCUCGUGAUUCUUCCAAUUUCAUUGACCAUUAAAUCAAACUUUACAAACUAAUUUGCAAAUUAAUUAAUUUAUUUUCUAAUAGGUUGGGGUAAGAUGCAAUGAUAGGGGGUGUGGGUUGUAUGACUUUAGUAUUGAUGUCAUAACAUUAGUUGUUAUUGUUAGAAAAUGUGUACCCCAUUAAAUAUUUAAGUUGGGGCCUCCCUUUGUCUCUUUUCAUCUUUUCAAUUAAAUAAGAGAUGUGACUUUCUUCUCUCGGAAAUAGUCUUUCUAUCUCUGAGUUAUUGAUACGAUCUGUGAUAAAAUUUAUUCGCACUUGAUGUAUACAUUAAACUAAUGUACGUCAUCACAGUUAAGUGAUUAAAUAAAGUUAAAUACAUGUUAAUAAAUCAUGGUUAAUUAACUAAGCUGACCUCUAAAUUCAAUCACAUGACAUGCAUGCAUGCAUGUAUUGACUUGAUAUAUACACUGGGUGCGGAUAUAUAAGUCGAAAUUAUUCUGUGGGCAUAAAUUACCAAAUAUGAACAAUUGAUAUACUCAGGGGCGGAGUUACAUGUAAGUUAGGGGGUUCAUCCAAAUCCCCUUCAACGAAAACUUAUACUAUAUAUACAUGGUUAAAAUUAUUUUUUAUGUAUAUAUACUAAAUGUCGAACCUCCUUCGGUUAGAUAAUCGUAUGUUCACUUGUGAACUCCCUUGCUGAAAAUCCUGGCUUCACCACUGGAUAUACUCAAUUUAAUCCCACGAAAAGAAUUUGAAAAGGAUAAACUACGUACAAAUCGUAAAAAUUUACCUGCACUCAAUGUAUACAUCAAAUCAAUAAUUCAUUAUUCAGAUUUAAUGAUUCAUUACCAAACAUCUUUUAUUUUAAACUUUUAAAUAGUAGAGGUUGUGCGAACGUAUUAACGCUAUUGUAACAAAUUAUGACAUAAGUUCAAUCACUUGGGUAAAUCUCACGUGGUCAUCCCAUAGAAGCGCGAUGAAGUCGCUAGCCUAGGCCAUGAGUCUUAUUGAUAGCUCAUUGUUCGAUUAUUAAAUUUUAAAAUUUAAACUCGUAAAAUUUAAAUUUUAAAUUGGACUAUAUAUAUACUCAUUAUUUACACCCACAUGCAUCUCUGGCUUUAUAGGGAAUAGUGGUCCAAUGUAGUAGGAAAAUAAAAGGGCAAUAGGUUAAAUGAGAAGAAUUUAAUAGAAAGAUGUGUGGGGUUUUGGAUUAUAUUCUAUAUGAACAUAUAGUACAAGAGAAAAAGUUUAUGCAUAUAGAGACCAAGAUUGCAUUUUUAUACAUUUCAUAAAUAUUAAAAAAGUAAUUCCAUCCAUGUAUUAAAGUUUCUGUUAAGCGCGGAAUCCGAUAGUGAUAGAUUAAGAAUUUAAGAGUUGUGGUUGUUCAAAAAGUUCAAACACAUGAUAUUGGCACCAGAACUUUAAGGUUCCACAAGAAAAUCAAAGCAUCCAACUAUCUUUUUUAUUUCAUGGGUGUUUUAUUUUUUUUAAUAUGUUUCUUAUAUAGUUAUAGUUAUUCUGUGUCGGGUUUAAUGGGUGCUAGAGCAUCAAUAUUUUCAACCUCGGUCCGCCCCUGGAGUUCGAAAGAAGGCCGAAUUAUAAGAGUCUAUUGUACGCAAUUUUACCUUACAUUUCUGUCACAGAUAUUUUCACGGUUUGUACUCAUAACCUCUUGGUCACAUUAUUGCAACGUUAUCGGUUACUCCAAAGCUUCUAUUCACAUUUCAUAAAUAUUAAAAAAUAAAAAUCAUUAUAAUCUUUGCUCUUCUUGGUAGUUGAAAAAUCAUGAAGACUUUCAUCAUUAUCUAUUUCUAUGGUACAUGUAGAUUUUUUAUUAUUAAUUUUUUUUUUGGUUUGUAUAUGAAUACUAUAUAUAUAACAUGUCCAAAUCUUGAAAAUAAUGACAAAUUAGCAAAGGCAUUGCUGAAUUAUGUGAUUAGACAAACUGAAUAAGAAAUUAUGGCAGUCAAAGUUUCUAUUCAUGAAUAUGACUAUUGUGUAGCUAGUAUUAUAUAAUAUAAUAUUUUAUUUAAAAUUAUAUUAUAAAAUGAAAAUUAUCAAUUUUUUCCUAACGUCUCUUCGAAAUUUGACUCCUACGAAUUUAUGUUGAAAUCUUUCUACGAAUUGAUAAAUUACUCUUUAUUCAUAUAAUGUAUACAACUUUGAUUACUGAUUGAAUCGAUUGAAUGAUUUAGUUGAUUCUGAAUAUCAGAUAAUUAUAUAAUAAUAAAAAAGUAGAGUUUUAUGGGUGGAUAAUCAACCCUAUCUAAUUAUUCCCUUUUGGUUUAAUCUAUCAUCAUGUGAGUUUUAUAAAUUUUGAUGUUGUAUUUGUCAAAUUAAUCUAUCAUUUAAUUACUCAUUGCUAAGUAGUUAGGCUAAGGUUGGUUUUAGUAUCUAGUAAUCCAUGUGGUAUGUCAAUAAUAAUAAUAAUAUCAUUAUUAUUAUUAUUAUUAUUAUUAUUAUUAUUAUUAUGGAAAAAUAACAUAAACAUACAUCUUAACUUAUUAUUAUAUUUACAUAAAUCUCCACUCUUACAAAGUAAUUACAAAAAUCUCAACUAAUUAUGUAUCUUCGUUGGAUGUAUCGGAAGCUAAUUAUGUAUCUCGACAGACCAAAAAUCGAAAUUUUUUUAUCAGAAACUAAUUAUGUAUCUUUGGGAAAAAAUGUAUCUUUGUUGGAUGUAUCGAGAGCUUAUUACAUAUCCUGACAGAUUCAAAAUCGAGAUUUUUAGUAAUUAUGCAAAAUAUCAGAAUUUUUCGUAACUAAGCUCCAAACUGUCGGGAUUUAUGUUAUUUGCCCUAUUAUUAUUGCUACAAUUUUAUUUUUCUUUUAGUUAUAUUUGCUUAUUAGUCAAUUGUUACCAAAAAUUGAUGUGAUAUUUGGCCAUUCUCUUUUGUCCUGAGUUGUGUUUUAUGCAACAACUAAUAUAUAUGGUUGAAGCUUAUGAAUUCAAUAUUUUAAUUUUUUUUUUCCAAGUUAUUGAGUUUUAAAUUGAUAAUUUAUACAUAUUUAAUAAAUUUCUCAAGACAAAUGCUAAAUUUAGAUUAAAAUUACUAAGUUCAACUGAAUUUAUAAACUAUAUUGUAAUCCCAUUCAUAACUUAUAUAGGCUAGCUUAAGAGAGAAACGCUCCUUAUCAUGAAUUUCUUCUUUUAUUGGGCUCAAAAGAACUAGUUACUUAUAACAACAUAAGAAAACUCAAUUAUUGUUCAUAAAUCAUUUAUUUAGCAAGAAAAUAAUAGUCUAAAAUAUCAUUUGUCUAAUUGCUAUAUAUCUUUACUAAUAUUAAUAUAUAGAACUUAAUUUGAUAAGGAAAGUACAAUUAUUGGUUUAUCACUUUGGAUUAUGUAGAUAUAGAAUAAUAUUGUUAUUAUGUAACAACUAGUCAAUAAGCUAGAGAUAAUUAAGUUUAUCUGGUCAAACAUUGGGAGCAUAGGACAAUAAUAACGAUUUAAGAUAUGAUAUGAAACAACUUAAACGUAAUUAUUUUUUGUCAAAAAUAGAGGUCAUACAUAGGACAAUAAUAACGAUAGAAUUAAGAUAUGAUAUAAAUAAAACAAAUUAAAUGUGGCUAUCUUUUGUCAAAAAUUAUUAGGGGCAUAAUAUUAAGAACAACAAUACCGAUAUAAGCUAUGAAAUGAAAUGAACAUUACUAUCACUAGUUCAUCGUUAAUUAGAAGUCUCGAGAUUGAGUCCUAACUAUGAAAUCUCCUUCGAUGGAAAGCGUCAAACCCUUAAAGUGGAACUUUCCGGCUAGAAUCUAAAUUAGACGAACGUCAAAUCAAAUAGUAUUAGACACAAAAUAAAAAAAAAUGUCGGCAUGAUAUAUAUAUAUUUAUACAAGAACAAACAAGUACAAAUUAAAAUUAUUAGUUUGGUAUAUGAAUAGGAUUCAUCAAUUAAAUAUAGUGUUAAAUGCAUGUUGAAUUGUAGCUUUUACCACUUGCAUGUGUGCAUUAAUCUAUCAUAGGUCUCACAACCCUAAACUUGUCUCCUGUUAUCGAUCGCAGAGUCAGAAAUUUUAAUUAAAGAUCUUCGAAAAUGCAAAAUUAUUGCAUUUUUGAAUCCAAACGUGUAACUUGAUGAAGUCUCUAUCAACGUAAAUUGUACUAAAACAUCUCCUACAUGUUGACGUGAUUCAAUAAUUUAUAUAUAUUGUAUAUGAGAUGUAUAUUCACACUUCAUGAAUUCUGAUGUUUUUGUUGAUCUGUACUGAAUAACGAGCUAAUGAAUUUCAGAAGUUUGUAGCAUUGGUAUCGAUAAAUAAUUUCGAUUGAAUUCUUCAUCUUUUUAAAUAAUGCCUAUACCAUCAACUCAUUCUGAAAAAAGUAUUUCAGAAUUCGAUGAUAAGAUUUUGAUACUCAACAACCUCUGUUAAAAAAAUCACAAAAAUUUAGAUAUUUUAUUACAUAACUUAUUAAUACGAUAUAAUUUUUUGAUGAAUGAGAUUCAGUUCAACCCUUCAAUAAAUUAGCCCUACCCUAGUUGUCACAUGCAUCUCAUCUAACCCUUUGCCUCUUUCUUCCAAACCUUUCAAAAAAAAGAAAAAAAACAUAAUUGCAAAACAUUUAGUAUUUCUGAAUUAUGACCAAAUUUGUUAUAAUAUAUUCUAAUUUUACGGGGGUUCUAUUACUUCUGAACUCAAUUUUAGCGUAGUUUUGUCACCCUUUUGUACUGACGUGAUACCUUUUGUCAACCUUUUUGGCUGAUGUAGCACCUUUGAUGUGAGUUUCAUUUUAUUUAAUAAAAGUGGCACGACAGCAUAAAGAGUAACAAAAAUAUGCUAAAAUUCAGUUUAGGAGGAUAAUAGGACCUUGUGAAGUUAAAAUGUGUCGCAGCAACUAUGACCACCUUGGAAAAUUGAGUUUGAGGGGAUGCAGAAUGUUUAUCUCAAAAAAUUAAUAUAACUUGCAAUAAACAAAAAAGAGAAAAUACUCAGUUUCCACCCUGAAUUAUAAACGAAAUUGCUGAGACACACCUGAACUUUAGAAGGGUUCUAUUGCCCCUUUGGACUAAUUAAAACUGUACUUUUGACAACCUUAGUACCUACGUGGCACAUACGAGUGCCUACGUGGACCUUCAAUGUGUUGAUUCACUGAUGUGUCACGUAGGCACUGAGAUUGUCAAAAAUAUGAUUUUAAUUAAUUCAGGGAUAAAUUCGGGUGUAUUUUAGUAAUUUCGUGUAUAGUUCAGGAUGAAAACAGAGAAUUUUUCCGACAAAGAAUACAUUGACUGUAGAGGCUUUAGGUCAAUGAAAAGCCAAAAAAGUCAAUCAAGACCUAAAAAUAAUAUAUACUAUAAAUUAUUUGCUUUGAAUUUUGGUCUUUAAAUAUACAGUAUUAUAAGAUUAAUGAAAUCUUGCCCUAGACUUCUGAAAAGUUGUUUCCUGCAGCUUUUAAAUACACACAUAAAUAUAGUGACAAAAUUUUUUUAUCUAGUCUAAACAUAAAAGAUUUAUUGCUAAUUUUAUUUAACGAAAAACUAACAGAUAACUUCUAUCGCGAUUCAUUGCUAAUCUUAUUUAACGAAAAAUUAAUGAUGAAUUAACAGAUAACUUUUAUCGCGCCCAAACAUAAAAAAAUCAUUGCUAAUCUUAUUUAACGAAAAAUUAACGAUGAAUUAUCAAAAAAUCAUGUUAGCUACGAAAUUUCGAUGAAUAUCCUUUGAAAAAUUCCAUUCUUUUUUAACAGUGACACCCCUUCAAUGAAAAAAAUUACUAAUUAUAAGUUAUUAAAACCUAUUCUAUCUCAUAUCCUUUAAUAUCAACAUAUUCAUUUGAUAAAAUCUAAAUAAAUUACAUAUAUUUUCCAUUUUUUUUCCUUUAAGAAAAAAAAGAAGUGAAAUUGUUGUCUUUGAAUUUAUGUUUCUCCACAGGAUUCUCAUGUGCAUCUAAGAGUAUGUUCUGACUUGAAAGUGAAAUAUCAAUUUAUUUUGUUUCUUUCACAAACUUCUUGCAAUUUAAUUUAUUUUAUACAUAACAACUAGUUGAACUUUCUAGGAAACUCCUUUGUUUUUGGAGUAAAUUACCCGUAAUUCCUGAAUUAUGAUCAAAUUUAUUACGAACAUUCCAAUUUUAAUGGGUUCAAUUACCUUCUUGAACUAAAUUUUAGUGUAUUUUUUUUCUAUCUUUUUAGCUGAUGUUGCACCUUUUGUCAACCUUUUCAGCUUACGUGGGUCCAUUUUAUAUAAUAAAGAUGUCACGACAGCACAAAAAGGUGAUAAAAUAUACUAAAAAUGAGUUCGGAGAGAUAAUAGCCCCCCUGUGAAGUUGGAGUAUGUCGUAACAACUUUGAUUAUAGUUCAAGGGGAUACUGGAUACUUAUCUGUUGUUUUUGCACGGGUAAGUUUAGCUUAUUUAUAAUUUCUCCCUCCAAUGGAUAGGUGUAUAUUAAUAUAUAGAUGAUAUUAUAAGUAGAAAAACGAAUGUCAAAUGGAUCGACAGAUUUUUAAAUUUGGCGCAAUCUUUUAUUUUAGUACUUAAAUUAUGUUGUUCAUUUUAAACACCUAAAUUAGUCUCCAACUGCUUUAAGUGUUUAAAAUGGACAACGUCCGUUUUAGGUGUCAAAAUGAAAGUUCGUGUCAAGUUUAGAGGUCUAACGAUGUGUUUGACCGAAAAAGAAUAACCAAUACUUAGAGCGUGAAACUUGUAAAAAAUUGAUAAUUCAGAUGUGUUUUGACUAAUAUCUUUCAACAGAUAUAAUUGAUAUUUCAUAAAAUACACGCUCUUUCUCUCAUACUCAAAACUAGGGGUUUAAACUAAGGCAAACAACAUAAAUCUCGAUAGUUUGGGGCUUAGUUAUAAUUUUUUGAUAUUUUACAUAAUUAUUGAAAAUUUUAAUUUUGAGUAUGUCGAGAUCUAUUAUUAGAUCCUGAUACUUCUAAUGAGAUAAAAAAAUUUCUUUGUAAAGAUACAUAAUUAACUUUCGAUAUAUUUUUUUUUCAACUUUGGGUCUGUCGAGAUACAUAAUUAGCUCCUGAUAUAUUCAAUGAAGAUACAUAAUUAGUUUAAAUUUUUAUAAUUACUUUGUAAGGGUGGAGAUUUAUAUAAAUAUGGUAAGUUAAGUUGUAUGUUUAUGUUAUUUUUCCUAAACGCUAUAAUGUGUGUGUAUAUAUAAGUUCUCAUUUUAUUAUUAUGUGUUAUAUAUCUAAUUAAUUUGUACUAUUAAUGUACUAUACGUAGACCUACAUAUUACAUCCCUAUGAAAGAUAAGACUAUAGCCAUUAAAUCAAAAUAUCACUUCCAUACAACAAUAUGGCACCCUACUCUUUGACCACUACAUAGUUCAUAAUCAUUAAAUUGACUACUAUAUCAUCCUUUUCUAUGACCCAAAAGUGGUCUCAUUCUGUCGUAAUUUAUGUGAUACUUUUUGAAUUUUGAGAUUUAAAUAAGUUUAUCUUUGGUCGUAAUUUUUACAUAUGUACUUUUAAUAUUUUGAAUUAUCAAUCAUUGUAAUUUAUAGUACUUUUUACGUAGGUUUCAAAUAUAUAAAUUUUAUUUUAAAAAAAUAUAAAUGUAAGAUUUCAUGCCCAAAUUUAUAAUCAAAAUUAAAUUAUUUGACUCUCGAAAAGUAAAAAGUGUCACAUAAAUUGAGACAAGGAAGUAGUAUUUCUUAUGGAGUUUAUAAAUUUUGGAAAUAAUUUUAGAUAUACGAGACUGAAGUUGUGUGAAGUGUGACCUUGUUAAGGUCAAAUAUUGGACUCAAACUCGCUUUUUCGCGAGUUUCAUCCUCCAACUAUCAAUUAUUAUUAUUAUUAUUAUUAUUAUUAUUAUUAUUAUUAUUAUUAUUAUUAUUAUUAUUUUCUUAUAUGAAUUAUCACUAUCUAUGUAUUAAGCACAACUCAACUAUCAGUUGUUCUGUUUUCCUAUUUGAACUAUCAUUAUCGCUCGUGAAGAAAAAUGGAGCAACCAAUAGUUUUGGUUUGUAUAUUUAAAUACAUAAAUUGUGAUAGUUCGGGUAAUAAAGGAAAACAACAACUAAUAGUUGAGUGAGCAGCUAUAUAGAUUAAUUCUUUGAUUAGACCUUUUGUAGAAGUAGAUCUGAAUAGUUUGUAGGAAAAAUAAAAUAAACAUAUAUACACCUUAACUUACUAUAUUUACACAAGUUUCCACCCUUACAGAGUAAUUACAAAAAUCUCAACUUAUUAUGUAUCUUCAUUGGAUGUCAUCGGAGCUAAUUAUGUAUCUCGACAUAUCCAAAAUCGAAAAAAUAUAUCGGGAGCUAAUUAUGUAUCUUUACAAGGAAAAAAAUGUAUCUUUAUUGGAUGUAUCGGAAGUUAAUUACGUAUCUCGACAGUCCAAAAUCAGAAUUUUCAAUAAUUAUGUAAAAUAACGAAAUUUUCUGUAAUUAAGUUCCAAACUGUCGGUUUGAUGUUGUUCAUCCUAGUUUGUAAUAUGGAACUGGUUGCUAAUUAAAAAGAUAAUUGUUCAGGCCCAUUGGGCUACAUCAGUGGGAUCCAAACAAAAACCCAAAUUCAAAUAAAUUGGGCCUUAGUGUUGAUAUUGGACAAUGGACAUGAUAGUGAUCAGAUUCAGAAGCCCAAAUUGUUUUAAGACCAUUUGACUAGAUAAUGACUACAAUGGAUUCAAAAUUAAACACCCAAAAUUGAAUCGAACCAAUCGAUGAAUAUCCUUACCUGUUAUCGGUGCUGGAGUCAUAAUUUUCCUGACUAAGAGGGUUCAAAAUAUAACGAGAUAAUAAACGUACGAAGCAGUCAAGGAGAUUCAACGUCUAUUUUAUGUACCUAGAAAUAGCGUUGACCUUAUAUAAAAUGCAAAUGUUUUACGAGAUAGUUCGGAUAAAUCCCUUGCAAUAUCCUAGCUCCACCCAUGCAUACUCUAGAUAGAAGUCCUGGUACAGAUUCGACCGAAUCUAAUAGCUUUUAGAUAGAAGCCCUGAUACAGAUUCGACCGAAUCUAAUAGCUUUUACUCAGAUUCAUCCAAUAUAUAAGAACAUUAAGUUUAAAAUCCAACUAUUAAUACUUAAAAUCCCCAUUCUAAAUUCAUACUACAACAACAUACCAGUGAAAUUCCACAAGUGCUGCUUGGGGAGAAUAUAGCGUACGCAGACCUUACCACUACCUCAUGGUAGUAGAGCAAUUCCAAGCACAAAGGAGAAGAAACAGUGACGAAAAUAUGGCAACUACCACAAGAAAUAGUGCAAAAUCAAGAAAAAAUAAACAAGAACAACUACAAAUAAUGCGAUAAUCGAAACACAAUAAACAACAGACUAUGAUAGAUAUCACAAACAAGGACUACGAUACUACGACUAGCACAACAACAAACACUUACAAAUCUAUUCCUCGAAAGCACGACAACACUCCCAUCCUACAAGUCUAACCCCUCGUUCUAAAAUUCAUAAAAUUAUAAUCGACUCAACUUUUAAUAUUAUGUAUUGGAACUACAAUGCUACGACUAGUACAACGACAAUUACUUACAAUUCCAACCCCGCCCUCAAAAGCACGACAACAUUUCUAUCCAACAAGUCUAACCCCUCGUUCUAAAAAUCAUAAAAUUAAAAUCUUGACUCAGCUUUUAAUAUUAUGAGGGACUACAAUGCUAUGACUAGCAGGGACGGAGUUAGUUAAUAGUAAGGGGGAAUCCCUUUCGGCAGAAAAUUAGACUAUUUAUACAAGCUUAAAAUUAUUUUUCAUGUAUAUAUAACAGACGUUGAACCCCUUCGACUAGUUCUUUUAUUCACAAUUUUUUUUAUUUUAAACCCUGUUAGUUAAGAUGUUGGCUCCGCCACUAAUGACUAGUGCAACGACAAAUACUUACAAAUCUAACCCCAUGAAAGCACGACAACACUCUUACCCUACAAGUAGGGACUAAGAUACUACGACUAGUACAAUGACAAACACUUACAAGUCUAACCCCUCGAAAGCACGACAACACUCUUACCCUACAAACAUGUACUACGAUACUACGACUAGUAAAACAACAAAUACUUACAAGUCUAAUCCCUCGAAAGCACGACAACACUCCUACCCUACAAGCAGGGAUUACGAUACUACAACUAGUACAACGACAAACACUUACAAGUGUAACCCCUCGAAAGCACGAUAACACUCCUACCCUACAAGCAGGGAUUACGAUACUACAACUAGUACAACGACAAACACUUACAAGUGUAACCCCUCGAAAGCACGAUAACACUCCUACCCUACAAGCAGGGACUACAAUUAGUACAACUAUAAAUACUUACAAGUCUAACCCUUCGAAAGCAUGACAACACUCCUACCCCACAAGCAGUGACUAUGAUACUACGACCAACACAACGACAAACACUUACAAGUCUAACCCCUUGAAAGCACGACAACACUCCUACCCUACAAGCAGGAACUACGAUACUCAGAGGCGGAGCUAGCCUCCUUUAGGGGGUUCGGCCGAACCCCCUUCGACGAAAAAAUAUACUAUUUAUACAUGAUUAAAAUUAUUUUUUAUGUGGUUAUAGUAGGUGUUGAACCCCCUUCGACUAAGUUUUCUUUGAAUAUUGAACCUCCUCAGUUGAAAUCCUGGCUCCGUCUCUGACGAUACUAUGACCAGCAUAACAACAAAUACUUACAAGUCUUAUCCUACAAAUAGGGACUACAAUACUACGACCAACACAAUGACAAACACUUACAAGUCUAAUCCCUAAAAAAACACGGCAACAGUCCUACCCCACAAGCAGGGGCUACGAUACUACGACUAGUACACUGAUAAAUACUUACAAGUCUAAUCCCUCAAACGCACGGCAACACUCCUACCCUACAAGCAGGAACUAUGACACUACGACUAGUACAACAACAAAUACUUACAAGUCUAAUUCCCCGAAAGCACGACAACACUCCCACCCUACAAGCAGGGACGAUGAUACUACGACUAGUACAACGACAACACUCCUACUCUACAAGCAGGGACUACGAUACUACGACUAGUACAACGACAAAUACCUACAAGUCUAAUCCCUCGAAAGCACGACAACCGUCCUACCCUACAAGCAGGGACUAUGAUAUUACGACUAGUACAACGACAACAGUCCUACCCUACAAGCAAGAACUACGAUACUACGACAAAUAUAACGACAAAUACUUACAAGUCUAAUCCCUCGAAAGCGCGACAACACUCCUACCCUACAAGUCUAACCCCUCGUUUUAAAAUUCAUAAAAUUAAAAUCCUGACUUCGCGUUUAAUAUAUCAUGUAUUGGGAAAAUAAGUAGUAUGGUCCACAGCUUGCAGACAUAGGUAAUAUAGUAGAGAUACCGACCUAACACUAUACUGCAAAAGAAGUCACGUAUACAUAUUGGUAUUUGUAUAGUUUCAUUUCAUUAAAAUACACAACUGCAAUUUCAGUCAUUAAUUUUAAUUAUUUAAAAAUUAAUUAAAUUGUCACAUUGGGUUGCGUACCAUCUAAAAUUUUGCCAUCUCAUACCAUGCAAAAAUUUUAAAAAAUAAAGUAAUAAUAAUGUUUAUAGUAUUUCCUUUUGAAAAUGUAUUAAAAGUUUUCAUGGUGUUUUGAGUAAACUUCUUAUAAUACCAUAACAAAGAGCAACAAAAGGUAUGAAAUUACUAGUCACUCAUGUUAUGAUGUUCUAAAUUUUGAAUUUUUUUCCUUUCGUUAUCUGACUUAUGUUUUUCAUGACAAAAUGAUUUUAUGAAAGUAGAAUUUUUAUUACUUAACUUUUAAUUUACGCGUAUAUUAUCCAUUUUGGACUUCAGUUUUUCACUUUCCUCUUCCAUUUCGGUGUGAAUUCAUGUAAGGUUUCACGUACAACUCGUCUUCAAAAGCUUGCUCAUCUAGAAGCCUCCCGUCCUCCACCGGUGAGAGUUAUAUAUUGAGCUUUUUUGCUAGUCGAGGUUUGAAAUUUAGGUUCUUUCGUGUAGAGACAGAUUCAUAAUUUAAAUUUGAAGUAUUUAACCUUUAAAAGUUCUUCAUGCUAAUUUACAUUGUACUUUAAAAUUAUCAUUUCAAAAUUCAAUAUUUACUGAAUUCUUAGUAAUAACUAAUAAUCACAUCUACAUUAAUAUUUCGUUUCAUUAAAUAAAAUUAGCAAUGUUUUUUUAUUGUUUAGCGAUAGAAAUUGUUCGUGGCUAAUUCUUUUUUUUUUUUUUUUUUUGUAGUAUAUUAAUAUUGGGGUCAACAAUGUAUGAAACAUCACAAUAUCACAAGAGGAUUUUCACACCAAAAAAUUGUUCUCAACAAAUUGAUUCAUCAUUUGGAAAUGUUUUAUUAUAUGGUGCUGGAUCUGAUAUUAUAAAAAAUGAGCUUGGUGCUUAUGGAGAAAAAAUAUUAGGUUCAAGUUCUUCCUAUGUUCAAAGCAAUGUAAGAAUUCUUUUUUUGUUAUAUGUAAUUAAAAUUAUAAUUUAUAACUUGUUUGGUCAAGCUUCUGAAAUCAGCUUUAUUUUAAAAGUAUAGUUAAAUAUGAUCUUUAUAUGAUAUGCUGUGGCGGACUCAAAAUUUUAGAGUCGUAGGUGUUCGGAAAGUUCAUACAUGUAUAUUGGCACCCAGAGCUUCAACGUUCCGCAUGAAAAUUAAAGCACCCAACUAGCUUUUUAGUUUCACGAAUGUUUUUUUUCUCAUCCUAUUCCAAUUUUUAUACAUUUUUUAUAUAAUUAUACUUAUUCUGCGCCGGAUUUAACGGAUGUUGGCGCACCAAUUUUUUCAACCUAGGUCCGCCCUUGAUGAUGUGGAUUGUCUAGAUAUGUUUGGUUGCUAUAGCAAAUUGUUGUUAUGGAGAAUGUAUAAUAUAAUAUAAUAUAGUAAUAUAAAAGUCGGUUAAAAAAAAAAAAGACUUCAUUGUUAUAAUGAAGUGUUGUUAUAAAAGAUGAUUGUUAUAUAAAGAAAUACUUUUAUUAGUAAUUUGUAUUUGAUGGAUAUUUUCAAAAAGUGUUUUUACAUGGCAAAUUAUGAAAAAAGAAAUUACUACUAAUUUUAAUUUUUAGCCUUUCAAAAAAUUGACUAAACAGACUAUAUAACACUUUUUCCAAUAGUAAAUUUUAGAAUGUGGAUGUUGUUUAUUUAAUUUUGGAGGAAAUUAUUGGCUGAAUUUUUUUAUUUUAAUUUUUUUACUAAUAGAUUGGCAGAUACAUUUCCAAUCCAGAAUACUAUUUUCAAGUGAAUGAAGAUUAUGUGAAGAAUAAAUUGAAGGUGAUUUUGUUUCCAUUUCUUCACAAGGUAAAUUCAACAAUAUUUUACAUAUUAGUUCAUUUUUUGAGUGUUUAAAUUUAUAUAUAUUUGGAGUGUAAAAGAUAUUUACACAAUUAGUCCAUAUAUAUAUCUUGUAUAUAUGUAGGAAAAAUAACAUUAAUAUACACCUUAGUCAUAUUUACACAAAUUUUCAUCCUUAUAAAGUAAUUAUAAAAAUCCUAACUAAUUUUUAUUUUCGUUGGAUAUAUCGAGAACUAAUUAUGUAUCUCGACAGAUUCAAAGUCAAAAAAAUUAAAUCGAAAACUAAUUAUGUAUCUUUAUAAAAGGAAAAAAUAUAUUUUCGUUGGAUGUAUUAUGUGUCUUGACCGACUCAAAAUCAAAAAAAAAUAUAUCAGGAGCUAAUUAUAUAUCUUGACUGACCCAAAAUUGAAAUUUUUAGUAAUUAUGCAAAAUAUCAAUUUUUUUUGUAACCAAACUUCAAACUGUCAGAAUUUGUGUUGUUUGUGCUAUGUAUGUAACUAUAGACUGUGAUGUCAAUUACCACUAUACUAUUAAUUAACCUGAGGUGUUUGUAGAAAUCCAUAAACAUCAAAUCUUAAAUCUGUCUUUGUAUAAGUAACAAUAAAAAAUCUUAAUAUAUAAUUAAAUUUUUCUAAUAAAUAUGUUUUAGGGACAUUGGAUGAGAGCUGCAGAUAUUUCUGGAGGAGAAUUUUCAUUUAAACCUCCAAUUCAUGAUAUAAAUGCACCUGAUUUAUAUAUCCCUAUGAUGGCUUUUGGUACUUAUUUGGUUCUUGCUGGCUACUUCUUGGGCAUUACCACCAAGUAAGUUUUUUAAAAAAUGUUUAUAUUAUCAGUAUAUUUUAAUUUGAAACAAUACAUUGUUUCUAUCCUGAACUAUGAACGAAAUUACUGAGACACACUCCGGGAGUAAUAGGACCCCCUUUAAGUUCGGGUGUGUCUCAUCAAUUUCAUUUAUAAUUCACGAUGGAAACAGUGCAUUUACUAUUUUAAUUUAUUGGUCCCGCUUGUGGUGUCAAAUCAUUACGCUAUAAGAAGAAAGAUUCGAAUAUCAAUCUCAUCGAGAUCAUGAUCUCAUAUCAAAUUUCAAGAGCAGACCAAUAUAUAGCCAAUGUUUUAGUGCUCCGAUAUCGGUUAAAUUCGAUAUAGAUUAGGUAUAAUUAUAUAAAAAAUGUAUAAAAUUUGGUAUAACAUUUAGAAAUUACUUUUAGAUGUUGAAAUUGAUUUUUAUAAAUUAUAAGCACUUCCAACAUUUACCAAAUGUGUAAAUUACUCAAAAUAAUAUUUAUAAGAUAAUUCGACCAGUUUAUAACUAAGUUUAGUUAAACGCCCUUCUAAGUGACCUUAUAGCACAAAUGUUCUUUUAUAUUAUUAAUAAUUUGACCAGCUUAUAACUAAGUUUAGGUAAACGGUCCUGUAAGUGACCUUAUAGCAUAAAAGUUAUUUUAUAUUAUCAGUAAUUUAACCAGCUUAAUUAUAACUAAGUUUAGGUAUACGGCCCUCUAAGUGACCUUAUAGCAUAAAAGUUCUUUUAUAUUAUCAGUAAUUUGACCAGCUUAAUUAUAAUUAAGUUUAGCUAAACGCCCCUCUAAGUGACCUUAUAGCAUAAAAGUUCUUUUAUAUUAUCAUUAAUUUGACCGGCUUAAUUAUAACUAAGUUUAGCUAAACGCCCCUCUAAGUGACCUUAUAGCACAAAUGUUCUUUUAUAUUAUUAAUAAUUUGACCAGCUUAUAACUAAGUUUAGGUAAACGCUCCUCUAAGUGACCUUAUAGCAUAAAAGUUCUUUUAUAUUAUCAGUAAUUUGACCAGCUUAUACCUAAGUGUAGGUAAACGCCCCCUUAAGUGACCUUAUAGCAUAAAAGUUCUUUUAUAUUAUCAGUAUUUUGACCCAACUUAUAACUAAGUUUAGCUAAACGCCCCUCUAAGUGACCUUAAAGCAUAAAAGAUCUUUUAUAUUAUCAGUAAUUUGACCAGUGGCGGAGUCAGAAUUUUCAUUGAGGGGUUCAGAAGUAAAUAAACGGACUAGUCGAAGGAGGUUCAACAUCUACUAUAUAUACGUAAAAAUAUUUUUGACCAUGUAAUGACUCCGCCACUGAAUUUGACCAACCUAUAACCAAGUUUAGCUAUACGCCCCUCUAAGUGACCUUAUAGCGUAAAAGUUCGUUUACAUUAUCAGUGCAUAAAAACUCGAUGUAUUAUUCAUUGUAGGUUUAGUCCAGAAGCACUAGGUGUGCAAUUCACAACAGGUUUGCUAUGCUGGCUUCUGCAAGUCCUCUUACUUGAAGCAACAUUACACUCAUUAGGAAGUGGAGAAGUGCCACUUCUUGAUAUUGUUGCUUAUGGUGGCUACAUUUUUGUGAAUGCAUCAAUCAUUUUGAUAUGUAGGAUCAUUUGGGAUUAUGUAUUUUGUUUAGUUACAUUUUUUGAAUGUUUUUGUAUGGGGGUUUUCUUGAUAAAGACCAUGAAGAGGAUCCUAAUUGGUGAAGUUAGAAGCUUUGAGAAGCAUUCAACAAAGAGGAAUUACCUUUUGAUCUUGAUGGCUUUGUCACAAAUUCCUUUGCUUUUUUGGUUGGGAAAUGUUGGUGUUGGAGCUAAGUGAGUUAGAAAGUACUUUUCAAUAAUACAAUUCAAUUGAUCAAUGAUGAAUUUUGAUGUGUUUUAUUUUUAGUUUCUCAUUUCACCUGGUAUAUGUAUUAAGGCUCGAUUAACCUUGAAUUUACACUGAGAACUUUCACAUUGGACAGUAAAGUGUAGACACGUAAUUUUGUUCUUUUUCGAAAAUAUUUUAAUCAUUUUUAUUUUAUUUUAAUUUUAUUUACCUUACCAUACUUUUGUUUAAUUGAUAAUUCCCCCCCCCCCCCCCUCCUCCAAAAAAAAAGAAAGAAUUGAAAAUAAUUAAAUACAUAGCAUCUUUGCCACCUCACUAUGCCACCCCAACAUCUCACUUUUCAUUUUUCAUUGGAUACAUGCAAAAGGCACACACCUUACUCAUUUUUUCACACGUCACCCUCAUCUUUCCACAUGCCACACUAACUUUUCCACAUGCCACACACUUAUUCCCACAAGCCACCAAUUAUAUGCUUCCACAUAGGAUAAUAAAUAAAGAAAAAGAAAAACCAAAUAAAAAAAAUAAAAGGAAAAUUCUAAAAGGAGAAAAGGGGGCGCUCAUUCUUUCAUCAUCAUCUUCUCCACAAUAACAACAAUCACCAAAUCAUCUUCCUGACAAGAAAAAAAAAACGAGGGAGAGAGAGAAAGAGAGAAUCGCGCGAAAAAAAAUCGAGAGAGAAAAAGAGUCUGGAGAAUGGGAAUCCGGCAUAAAUAGUGCCAGUGAAUAGUAAUAGCGUGAACAGUAACGAAAUGAACAGUAACUCGUGAACAGUGUCGGUGAAAAGUGACGAAGAACGCGUCAUUAUUUCUCAGUGUUGAGUUGGAUUGUUGGUGUUAAAGUUCGGCUUGAGGUUUUCUGGUGCGGACUCUCUUUAUUCGAAUAUCAUUGAGUUUGAAAGGUUCAAAUUGAGGUUCAAUUCUACUCUCUUUCUCUUUUUAAUUCAUUGUUUAUUAUAUUUGGUGUUAUUUUGACUCGUGGUUGGUUUGCUUGAUUAUGGUUGUUGAAAUGGUAUCUUGUUUGAGAAUUGAAAUUGGUUGUUUGGUGAUGGAAUUGAGAAAUUGAUAAAAAGUUGAAUUUAGAUUAACUUUGGUUUAUUGUUGUUUUGUUUAAUUCGUAAUGAGCAUGAAUAUUGUUGGAAUGUGAUAGGAUUAUGAUAUGUUGAAAUGGAUAGGCAAAUGUCGCUUUGGGUAGGCAAAACUUAGGAGUGAUGUGUUUAUUGAAUGUUUUGAAUGUUUAAUGUGCGUGUGAAUGUUUGGUUUCUAAUUCAUCGUGUUUAAUUCAAAUGUAUUUAUUUAGCCGGGGAAUGCCCCGAGACACAAUGUAUUUAUUCACCGGGGAAUGCCCCGACUUACUAUGUUGGCGGAAGACGUUCGCGAGGAAGGCCCGAGGCAUCGGGUAAAGCACGGGAUCGUAGUUAGUAUUAGUGUAGGUUAGAUAGGAUUUAUUUUUGCAUUUUUCUAUUUUGGAUUGUAUAAAUUAGACUGGACACUGUACUUUUGAUUAGUUUUUUUUGUUUGUUUGUUUGAUUGUUUUACGUGUUUUGUGUGGUUUGUACAUUCGUAGUGUUAAAAUUAGCUGAUCUGCUCCACCAAGCGACUGUGGUCGAACCACGGGAUCUAGGAGUGCCUAACACCUUCCCCUCGGUCAACAGAAUUCCUUAGCCGGAAUCUCUAUUCACAAACCAGUUUAAAGAGUCAAAUGGUUUUGAAAAGAAUUUUCCAAUGACUUGGCACACCAGAUUAUGCCAAGUGGCGACUCUGAGUUUUGAAUGUAAAAGGUCCUUUUCGAAACAAAUUAUCUUUAUUUUGUCACUUUAAUAAUAAAAACCCUUUCGAACCUUAAAAUGAAAUCUUUUCGGAGUUAAAAAAAAGGGGCAUUCCCUAAUAAAUGCAACUAUGUACUCCGAUUAAAUAAAGAUUUGUAUUUGAAAGUCCCACAUUAGGGGUAUGACGUUCCCUAAGAAAGGCAACUGCAAACACCGAUUAAAUUUUUAUUCAUGUUGUGUCUGCGGGGUGGGGGUGGGGUGGGGAGGGUAAAAUACUUCGUGCCAAUGUUAUUUUGAGUUCAUAUGUAGUAUUCAGGGUUUGCUUAGAUUUGGUACUGCUCUGCGGUCAGCAUCGAAACCGUGUUUUACCCCUACAUGUCCAAUCAACUGAUGUGCCUUAACACAUUUUAGGGAGAACCAGUAGGUCUUGGUACGAGUGGUAUUUCACCCCUUAACUACAACUCACCCGCUGAUUCUUCGAUAUCAGUUGAUUGAACCUUCACUUAGUUUCACUCAAAUUUCAUCGACAGGUGCCCUGUGAAAAAUCACUUUUACCGCGACUCAUCCAUUUUUGAUAUUCGCAUUUGGGCUCGAAUAACUCUUGUUUCCCGUUGGAAACUUUCACGUUAGUGGGUAAAACGCUCCCUAACAAAUGCAAUCACAUACCUCGACUAAUUAAUUUGGAUUUUUCUACCGUUCAUCCAUAUUUGGUACACACAUUUGGGCUUGACAAACUCUUGCUUCCGACUGGAAACUUUCACAUCAGAGAGUAAAAUGCUCCUUAACAAAGGCACCCGAAUCCGAAAUUUCUGGUUACAAAUGAAAGAAUACUUACAGUUCCAGUGCAACCUUUAUUGAUGAAUUUUGAUGUGGUUAAAUUAACCUGGUCACCUUUGUCACUAAACUUUUAAUUAUGUAUCAACAAAGUCAUAAAACUAAUAUUUAUUUCACUUAAGUCAUUAAAUUUUAUAUGUUGUAUCAAUUAAAUGACAAAAUUAUUUUUUCUAAUUUAAAAAGAAGAAUGAGAAAGUUCUAAAACUAUAAAUUGAAAGUAAAAUUGAGGUACACUGAGAAACAUAAUAAAAAUGCACUUAUCCUAAUAUUUACUCAAUUCCCUUACAAGAUUGUAAAGGGUUUGAAAAAUGAUUAGUCAAAUAAUAUACUCAAAUAAUUUAUGAUUAAGAUAAUCUUAAGUUUACCUAAUCUCUUCCCAAAUUAGAAUUGGCAAAAUGUCAUUAUAUUUUACUUAUCCUCAUAUUUUACUCAAUUAUCUUAAAAGAUUGUAAAGGUUUUGAAAAAUGAUUAGUCAAAUAAUAUAUUCAAAUAAUUUCUUAUUAAGAUAAUCUUAAAUUUACCUAAUCUAUUCCAAAAUUAGAAUUGGCAAAAUGUCAUUAUAUUUUAAGUACUAAAAUGAUCUUUAAUAUAAUCCAAAAGGGAAAAUUAAUAUUUGAUGAUAAGAAUUUCAUUUGACCAAAAAAAUGUCAUUAUAUUUUACUUGUCCUAAUAUUUACUCAAUUAUCUUACAAGAUUAUAAGGGUUUUGAAAAUGAUUAGUCAAAUAAUAUAUUCAAAUAAUUUAUUAUUAAGAUAAUCUUAAAUUUACCAAAUCUAUUCCAAAAUUAGAAUUGGCAAAAUGUCAUUAUAUUUUAAGUAAUAAAAUGAUAUUUAAUAUAAUCCAGAAGGGAAAAUUAAUAUUUAAUAAGAAUUUCACUUGACCAAAAAAAUGAUCUUAUCCCCCAAAAAAAAUGAUUUCAAUAUUCAACCCCUCUAUAAAUAUCAAUGAAAAAUGUGUUUUAUUCAACCACUUCAAAAUAAUUUUCACAUGAAAAAAAUCAAAAUUUCUUGAGAAAAUGAUGGCCAUCACUAAGCACUUUAUUUUCUUCACUCUACUUGCUUUUGUUAUCUUUCCUGCUUAUCAAUGUAAGUAUAAUUAAGAAAAUUCAUAUUUCUUUUUUUUAUGCAUAUAAUAGUUGUUGAAUAUUUUGUCUUUUUUAUUUUUUUUAUUUCUUUAUAUUUUGAAUUUUCUCGAUGAAAAUUCUGAUUCUGUCAUGAUAACCCAGGGGCGAAUCUAUUAAGCCUCGUGAGGGUGCCACGCCACCCACAAACUUCGACAAAAACUCUAUAUAUAUAUAAGCAGGGGUGGAUCUAUUAAGCCUCGUGAGGGUGCCACGCCACCCGCAAACUUCGAUAAGAACUCUCUCUCUCUAUAUAUAUAUAUAUAUAUAAGUACAAAUAUACAGAAUGUAUAGAAAUAAAACAGAUGCCACCUAAUGAAAUAAAGAGGUACUUGGUACAUGGUCAUCUAGUCCACCCAAGGGAUGUGGGUUCAAACCUUGUUGUUGUCUUAAAUUUAGCAUAAAUUCAAUUAUUCUCUUUUUAUUUGUUUUAAAAAACAAUUUGUUAAGUUUGCUACAUAAAUUUAAUUAUGCUCUUUUCAUUCGUUUUUAAAGCCAACUUGUUAAGUUUGCUAUAUAAAUUUAAUUAUGUUCUUUUCAUUUGCUUUUAGUUAUUUUGUUUUUGACUUGUAUUAAUUUAUUUAUUUUUGAAUAAUUUAAUUUAUUAGUUAUUUCUCAUUAAUUAAUUAGUAUUUGUUUGAUAUAAAAUUUAAAAGAUGAAUAAGUUUUGUUUUCUCUCCCAUCAAAUUAAAAAAAAAAUUGUCCAGAUAUUGAUAAACAUAAAAAUAAUUAUACACAAAAUUGAGGUCAAAUAUUGUGAAAAGUCACAAUUUUUUGCCUCUUAAAGAAAGAUAAAUAAGUAAGAAGUUGAUGCAGCCAAAAAAAAAUUCUAAGGAGGUUAAAAAUCUAAAGAAGUAAACACACGAACUAAUCUAAGAAGUUCAGUAUCUAUUAUAUAUACAUAAAAGUAAAUUUAAUCAUAUAUAAAUAAUAUAGUUUUUGGUCGAAGAGGGGCCUUGACCAUAAACUGGUUCUCAUUCAAAAUUUAAAGUCUUCGGUUGAUUUAAUCGAUGAGUCUACUUGGCACCCAAAGACUUAGAAUCCUGAAUCUGCCUCUGCUAUAACCUAAUUAGAGUUUAAUUUGAACCUAAAAUUUCUGAUUGAGAUCAGUGGAGGAAUCAUGUCCAUCUCAUCAUAAUACUUAGUAAUAAAUAAAAUUAAAUUAACUCCUAUUUAUUUAUGUAUGUUGGCUUGUUUAUUUUUCAUAAUUAAUCAUUUAUACAUACAUACAUAUAUAUAUAUAUAUAUAUAUUGGUUUUCAUUUCUAUCUUUUAUUUUAAUGCAGGUGAAAAAUUGAGCAACAAAUAUGGGAGAAAAGAUAGGAUACUUAUUGACCUUGGAAAGUGUUUUCAAUACACAAUAAACAAAUGGUGUUGUGAUUCAACUCUAACACCUUUAUUGUGUUAUGAUUCAAUGGAUAAAUGCAAAAAGAAUUGUCCUCAUUGGCCACCAGCUCUUAAUUAAUUAAUUAGUAAUUAAUUAACAAAUUCUCUGAUAAGAGUUUUGUUAAAUAUUUUAUGAAGUUUUCAUGUAUGAAAGUUCCAUAAUAUAAUAUAAAUAUUUCAUUUUACAAAUGUUAUGUUAUAUUUCAUCUUUUUUUUUUGUUCAUUAAUAGAGAGAGCUAUGUUCUUACUAAAUUCCUACAAAAUAUUACUUAUUGAGAGGGAAUUUUUUCAAAUGGCGUUACAGAGAAGUAAAGUAUAACAUGAAAAAUUAGUUUUGGUGAAAAUCAGGUCACUAUAAUGAAAUGUUGUUAUAAUGAGGUUAUAGAGAGGUAUGACUGGAUUAUACUUUUCGAAUCUCAAUUGUAAUUGGUAAUUGAAUAACAUGUAAUAGCGAAUAAAUACUAAUGGAUAAAUCUUAAAAUUAAAUGAGAAAAGGUAACUAGAAGAAGAUGAGAUACUACAAUAUAAAAAAAAGAUCGGAAAUGAGACGAUAACAAAAUAUCCCAAACAUUCCAUUUAUCUUAGUAUUUUGGCCAAUUGUGUUAAUAGCCAGGGGCGACCCUAGGUUGAAAAUUCUGGUGCUUCGCACCCGUUAAACCCGAUAUAGAAUAUGUAUUAAUUAUACAAGAAAUUAAAUAUAUAAAAAAAUGGUAAAAGAUGGAAAAAAGCACCCGUAAAAUAGUUGGGUGCUUUAUUUUUAUUUGAAAUCUUAAAGUUUUGGGUGUCAAUAUAUGUAUUUAAACCUCUCAAACACCCACGACUUCCAAAUCUUGAGUCUGCCACUGUUCAUAGCAUGUUCAAAGAAAUCUUAUAGGAUCCUGAAAGAUUGCAUAAUAAGUUGUGGUAUAAUUAUAAUUCAAGUGUAAUCUCUUUUUUGUUUUUGAUUUUCAUCCGGUAUCCGAUACCUGCAUUAGAGUCUGACUAAUUCGGAUUCAUAAUUGUUUUUCAAUCAUCCAUUUUUAAAUACAAUCAAUAUUGUAAUUUAUUAAUUUUUUAUAGAGAAAAUACCAAUUACCCCCUCCCCUGAACUAUACCCAAAAAGGUUAUGACACACCUCAACUUAAAGGGGGUGCUAUUACCCCUGAACUAAUUAAAAUUGUAUUUUUGACACCCUUAGUGUCUAUGUGGCACACACGUGUGCCUACGUGGACACUUCAGUGUGUUGUGUCAUGUAUGUGCCACGUAGGCACUAAGGGUGUCAAAAUUAUAAUUUUAAAUAGUUCAGAAGGUAAUAGGACCCCUGUAAGUUGAGGUGUGUCAUAAUCUUUUUGGGUAUAAUAACCAAACGAUUACUUCGGACCGGCCUUCAGAUGACAACUAGUCGGCUUGUCGUAAAUUAUCGAAUAAAGUAAAUCAGGUUGAAUUUGGAUUGACAUUGAGAAGUCCGAUAUUAACUUACGAAUGAAAGAAAUAUUUACCGAUCCGCUACAAUUCUUGGUGAUGAAUUUUAAUUGUGUAUCAACAGAAUUAUAAAACUAAUUUUUAUUUCUUUAAAGUCAUUGAAAUUUAUAUGUUGUAUCAAUUAAAUCACAAAAAAAAAUUCUGACUCAAGUUUACAAGUAGCACCAUUAAACUCCUAUGGGAAUCUUUUAUUAUCGAAAUGAAAUAUUCUCUAAUCUUAAUUAACCAAGUAGUUAAUUGAUUUUCAAUCAUCAACUUUUAAAUAUUAAUCUCCUAAUGUACUCUUAAUUAUUAGUUUUAAAUUAAAGUACAAAAUCUGUAAUCAAUUAUUUAUGGCAUCUCCUAAUUUUUAAUGAAUAAAUGACAGUAUAUUUUCGUGCAUGCAUAUCUCAUAAAAGCAUACGUAACUGAUUUUUAAUCAACCAUUUUUAAAUACAAUUAAAUGGCGUUAUUUUUUACGAAGCUUUGUAAUAUAUUUUGUUGUGAAAAUAUGAGUCAAUAUUAAUUAAAAAUCUGAAAUAUUUUUAUUUAUUGUAAAAUUAUCAAAUGACUAGUUUUCAAGAUUUUAUUAUGCUUAACCACGAUGCAUAGUACUUAUCUUUUAGUAUAGGAUAUGAAUAACUGGAUAUAGAUAUGAAACUAAUUGAAAUUAAAAUUAAGAUAUAUGGAAAGAAACAUGAAAAAAAAUUGUACGAAAUGUUGUUGUCGUUGUCACAUGUCAGUUAGUCAUCUCUGUCUCGCUGUACUCGUACUUUACAUGAUUAUAAAAUAUUUGAAAAAUGAUUAGUCAAAAUAUAUUAUAUUAAGAUGAGGUUAAAUUGAGAAAGGUGAUGUCAAAUAUUGGUUGCUUUGUAUUGCUUUACAUGUGAUUAAUGAAAAUAAGCUAGUCACCUAAAAAAAUAAUUAUAAAUUAAGAAACUUAAUUAAUAAUUAGUAAAUUUCCAACUAAAAAUUAUUUAUUUGAACCAAAAGGAAUUAUAGACUUAAAAAUUGAACUUAAGUCUUUCAUAUCUAGGCAUUUUAUAUAGAUAUAGAAAUAAAAUGAUAUACAUAUUAUUAUAUUUUUAAUCAUUAAUUAAAAAAUAAAAAGAAAGAUGAAACCAAUGCAUAAUUGUCCAAACUCUUGCCGAUAUCCACUUCCACAAGUCUUUCUCCAUUUAAGAGCAUCUUCUUCUUUUUUAAGUGAAAUAAUAACAUAAAUAUCAUAAUGAAAAUGAAUGAUAACCUUGGAUAAAAUCGCAUGAAAUAAAACAUAUGAACGUCUAUAGAAAGAAAAAUGAAAUGAAUACAUAAAUGUCUCGAUAUCUACUUCCACAAGCCUAUCACCCUUCAACAGUCUUCUUCUUCUUUUCAAGACAAACAAAAACAUGAAUAUAAUAGUGAAAAUGAAGAGUAACCUUGAAUAGCAUCUCAUGAAACAAAAAAUAUAAAUUUAUAUACAUAAAAAUAAAGGAAUACCAUAAGGUAUCAUUAACUUUUGCAUUAAAUAUUUAGGGGUUAUAAAUAUAAAAUCAUGAAUAGCUUGAGAGAUACAAAUAUAAUUAGUAGAAAUUAAAUAGAUGAGUUACCUCAAACAUUUUUUUUCUUUUAUUACAUAAUAAAUAGAGUUUACAUGUGCUGACUUUUGAUUUUUCUUUAAACACACAAAUAUUUAAAAUAAGAAGAAAACUUAAUAAAUAUCCAGAAAAACCUCAAAAAAAGAUAAAUAAAUUUGGUGACUUCUAAGACACGUCACAUAUGAUUGAGUUUUGAUCUCUUUUAUAUAUAGAGAGAGAUUAGUAGUUAAUUAACAAAUCCUCUUCUAGGAGUUUAGUUAAAUAUUUUAUGAAGCUUCUAUAAAAUCAUUACAAUAUUUAAUUCCAUAAUACAAGAUGAGUAUUUCAUUUUACCAAUGUUGAUUACAAUGUGCCCAAUAGUAUUCCCUUCCCAUGUUUACUUUUAUUUGUCAUAUUUUAUUUUAUAAAAGUUAAUUUGAUUAAACUUUAAAAUUAAAUUAAAGUAGAUUAAUUUAUUAUUCUGCAUUUUAAGUACCUCACUUUAUUAAGUUCAAACGCUACAUUAAACAGGAUAUUUGUUUAUAUAAUAAAGAUGAAUACAAUAAUUAAAUUCAACAUCUUUUGGAGAAUUAAUUUAAUUAAACAUAACAUUUACCAAAAAAAUUCUCAAAGUCGAUCGACAUUCAUCUUCCACAUGUAAACAGUAACAAAACAAUACGAUGAUAGAGACAUUAAAACAAUAUAAUUAAAUCUAACCUUUACACAAAAAUUUCCUCAAAGUCGUCUGACACUCGUCUACCACCUGUAAACUAUAACAAAAUAGUACGACAAUAGAGAUAUCAAAAUAAUAAAACAAAACUUUACUUUUACACAAAAAAAUCCUCAAAAGAGAGAUAUAAAAAAAUACGAUUAAACCUAACAUUUUCCUAAAAAAAUUCCUCAAAGCUGACCAACAUUCAUCUACCGUCUGUAAACUACAACAAAAUAAUACAAUAAUGAUCAUAAAACUUUAGUUUUGAUGAAAAUAAUUCUUGUCUGGGCGAAAAUUUUGACACUAAAGAAUGACUUGAAUGAAAAUAAAGAAGAUAUAUAUAUACACACACACGCAUUGAAUUCUAUUAUGUUGAUAAAAAGGUGAAGAAGUUGAAAAUUAGAAAAUUAAGCAUCCACCAAUCUAGACAUACAACCGAAUCAAGUUAGAUGAACUUUAAUCAUAUUUUCUCAAUAAGUAAAUUAGUUUCUUCUUCAGUUUAAUGUGUAUCUUAGUAUUUAUAGAAGUAUUUUCUUAAUAGAGUCCUAUUUUAGGAGUAUUUUUCUAAUUGAUAUGUAUAAAGAAAAAUAUUAAUUGAUUCUCCUUCCACAUAUUUUAGGAGUCUCAUAUAUUUUUGGAGUCUAGUUUAUAUAAUAAAAAUAAUUAACUAAUAAAUUAAAGAAAAAUAAUGAAAAGACAAUUUUAUCUAAGGAAGAGUCUUUUAAUAAAUGACAAAAAAUUCAAAUGACUGUUAGUAUUGUUUCUCAAUAUAAAUACAAAAGUUCUCAUCUUCCUAUCCAAUGCGUAUACUCCCUCCACUCCUUUUUAAGUGCAUGCUUCAUUUUUUAUGAGUCAAUUUGACUAAUUUUUAAAGCUAAAUUAAAUUAGAUUAAUUCAAUUUUUAAAAUUUAAAAUUUAGAUAUUCAAGUACUAUAUAUUAAAAGUAUUAUAAAUUACAAAUUUUCUUUUUCCAAUUUAAUUAAAAAAUAAUAUUGUUCAAAAUUUGAAUCGUAAAAAGGAAAAUCAUGCACUUAUUUAGGAACGGAGAGAGUAUUAACUUCUUAGCAAUAGAGAGCUAUUUUCAGGUACACCCAUGAAAGAAAUUAUUUGUAAGCAUUAAAUUUCUACAAUCAUUUCUGGUGUAAUAAUAGUAAUUUCUUUUUUAACCGAAAGAAAUACUAAUUUCUUUUGUAGAAAUAUUUUGUUUCUCUCUAAAAAAAUCAUUUUCCAAAUGUAUAUAGAUUCUUACAUAUAACUUUAUUUAUACCAAAAGAUUGCAUAAUAAAGUUGUGGUAUAAUUAUAACUACAGUACAAUCGUAAUUGAUUUUCAAUUAUCAACUUUUAAAUACAUUCAAGAUUGUCUUUUAUUAAUCUCCUAAUGUACUCGUAAUUAUUAGUUUUAAAUUAAAGUACAAAAUCUGUAAUCAAUUAUUUAUGGCAUUUCCUAAUUUUUAAUGAAUAAAUGACAGUAUAUUUUCGUGCAUGCAUAUAUCUCAUAAAAGCAUACGUAACUGAUUUUCAAUCAACCAUUUUUAAAUACAAUUAAAUGGCCUUAUUUUACGUAAUAUAUUUUGUUGUGAAAAUAUGAGUCAAUAUUAGUUAAAAAUCUGAAAUAUUUCUAUUUGUUGUAAAAUUAUCAAACGAUUAAUUUUCAAAAUUUUAUUAUGAUUAACCACAAUGCAUAGUACUUACCUUUUUAAUAUAAUAUGUAUAUAGAUAUAAAUAAAUUGAAAUUAAAAUUAAUAUAUAUUCAAAGAAACAUGAAAGAAAUGCACUUAUCCUAAUAUUUACCCAAUUUGUCGUUGACUCCACUUGUUAUUUCCUUCUAUGACAUGUUGUUGUUAUUGCUAUAUUAUAUGUCAAUUCAUCAUUUCUGUCUCACUACCGUCUUACUUUAUACGAUUAUAAAAUAUGUAAGAAAUGAUUAGUCAAAAUAUAUCUUAUUGAGAUGAGGUUAAGUUGAGAAAGAUGAUAUCAUCAUUCAGUGAAUUUAUCAAAUAUUGACUUAUUAAGUUGGGAUCUGAAAUAUCUAAAAUAUCAUUAUGUUUUAAAGUGAUCAAUUAAUAAAUCAUUUGAUAAGAAUUUCACUUUAAGAAAAAGAAAAAAGAAAUUAUCCAAAAGGGAAAAAUAAUUUAAAUUUUCAACACUAUAAAUAUCUAUGAAAAAUGUGUUUUAUUCAAUCCCUCCAAAAUAAUUUUCACAAAAAAACUCAAGAACAUUUGAGAAAAAUGAUGGCUAUGAUCACUAAGCAUUUGAUUUUCUUCACUUUACUUCUUUUUGUCAUCUUGCCUCCUCAUGAAUGUAAGUAUAAUUUAAAAAAAAAAAAUUAUUCUUCAUUAUACUUUCAAGAAUAAUUAAAAUAUUUUUUAUAUAUACAUAUAUAUUAGAUGUUAAAUUUUUUUUAACUUCUUUAUUAUUUUACUUAUUUAUAUUUUAAACUUUUUUUUAAUGAAAAUUCGGACGUCAUCAAUAAUAUUUAAGGUUCGAACCCAAAAUUUCUGACGAAGAUUAAUCGAGGGACCUUUCACCAAAAUCCUUGGUAGUAAAUAAAUGAAAUUUACUUUUGAGUUAAUUAUGCUUUUUUUUUUUUNNNNNNNNNNNNNNNNNNNNNNNNNNNNNNNNNNNNNNNNNNNNNNNNNNNNNNNNNNNNNNNNNNNNNNNNNNNNNNNAUCUGUCAUGUUAGCAACCAUUUAUGUAUGUAAACAUUAAACUUGUUUUCAUUUUUAUGAUAUAUUAUAAUGCAGGUAAAGAAUUAACUGAUAAUCGUGAGAUAGUUGGAUUCUUAUCUACCGUUGGUGUUAAAAGACUCAAAAAUAGGAAACUUAUUUAUAUUGGGAAAUGUGUCCAAUAUUGUUCAUCAUGGUGCUGUGAACCUUUUGCACAAGUGUGUUAUGGUUCAGAAGAGAAAUGCUCAGAACAUUGUUCCAUUUGGCCUCCUAGCUCUUAAUUAAUAAUUGUAUAUACAACUGUGCAAGUAUGGGUUCAAUAUAUAUUACGUUUUAUCUCAAUUUAUGUGAUAUAAAUAAAUUUUAAAAAUUAUCAAAUUGUUGUAUGAUUUUUAAAUGUUUCUAAUUGAUUAUUGUGAUGUGUAAUAUAUUUGAUCUGUUGAAAUAAAAUUAGGUUUAAUAUAGCUAUUUACCGAGCUAUAUUGUUAUUUGUUAACUGUUUAGUUUGCUCAUCAAGACCUCUAUUUGAUUUGAAUGGUAUUAUGUCAAAAGUUAUUUAGUUUCGAAGAUUAUUAGGAUUUUUUUUUUUUGAAUUUCAGACUUGAUCAACAAGUAGUAACAUCACAUAAUAUUAUAUUGUCAAUAUAUAUAUUGUUAACAUUUUAAAAUUUAAAUUAAGAUUAUAACUAUAAUAUAUUUUAAAAAGUGAGCUGGCAUGUCGAGGCCAGGAACCAACAGAGAAAUGGAUUGGGCCUAUUUUGUUUUUUUGCAUGUCAUCUUGAUGCAGCCUGAUCAGGUCCGUCAUGUUUCAAAACUCGUGUGGGCUGGGCCAGCUCGUAUUAACAACUGUCAUGACCCAAAUGGCCAUGAGUAGCACCCACACUAACUUUUCUGUGGGAGAACCAUCUACACCCAACUAUUAUCCAAUCAAUUAGUCAAUAUUAAGACGGUAUCAUCAUAAAACCACCUUAGAACAAUAAUUCAAAGCUAAUCAUUAGUAAUGUGAAAGUCAAACAAACUACUUACUAAAAUUCUCAAGACCCGAAAGUUAUCGUACAAGAACAGAGAUCACAUCUAAAGAGAUAUCCAAAAAUAAAGUAAAUAAAGAAUAUUUCAUCGUCCGAAAGAUGGGCAAGAACAAAUAAGAUGACCCAUGAAAGCAUGAGACGGAGUGCUCACUCUUGGAUCAAGAUCUGCUAUCAAACUCUACAGUUGUGGGCGUGUCUGGGCCUCUGGAACAUUUUCCGCACCCAACAAAAGAAAAGUACAGGAUAGUAUCAGUACAAACUACUAUGUACUGGUAGGUAUCAUAGGCCAACUCAAUUUAAUAGUAUGUACACAACAUAAAUCAAAUAACAAGUAGACAACAAAAAAUCAAUGAAUCAACAGUACAAUAAUAACAGGUUAAACAGAGCUCAUAACCAAGCCACAUAACCAUCAAGAGUACAACCAUACUAUAAACAUCCACAGAACCAACACAAAUUUGUACACACAUGCUAUGAGACUUAUUUUUGCCCAAAUAGUCAUGGCCUAUAGGGAACAAUCUAUGUUCAUGUACUAGACCGGCAUGGUACCCGAUCCUCAAUAACAAGUAAUAUCAAUAUCCCGUACCGGCGUGGUUCCCGAUCUACCAUAACAAGUAAUAUCAAUAUCAUAUCUGUACUGACGUGGUACCCGAUCCAUCAUAAACAAGUAAUAUCAAUAUCAAAUUUACACUACCUCAUAGCACACAAUACGAUGUACCAAGUUUACAAGUACAUUUAAAGUCAUAAGAUAAUUCCAUCAAGUAAAUUUUCAAUAAUUAUUUAUACACGCCUAAACAAUCCAAACAUCAUCAAUUUCAAGCAUGUCAGGAUAACAAUCAAUAAGUAUCCGAUUUAGGAGCAUACACACAAUUAAGUCGAGUCUAAACUCCAAUUAAAUCAUGGCCUACCUCAAUCAAAAAAUCCAAAUGCUUAACUUGUAAGGGUCUUGCCCUUCCGUAAAGUCUCCGAACGAUCAAUAUCUAUUCAAAACAUAAUCUCCAUCAGAAUACAUCUAAUGACACUUGUAUCAUAAAUAUAGUCAAAUCUAAAUUUCUCUAUCUAUUUAGUAUCCUAUUCACAAUAUAAUCAUAUAGUUACCUACUGUUACCAACGUUAUUGAAAAAAAUUAACAAUAAUAAUUUUCAAUCUCCAAAAGCCUUCAACUACUGCCAACUAAGAAUGCUUUCUUAACCAACCUGAAACUGUCGCCCCCCUUUUUCUUUUCCUUUAUGCUGAUGUGAGAAAACCUAAGCGUAACUUCUGUAUCCCACCUCUCAAUCUAUCUGAUCUUUUUUUUAAUAAAUAUGAUAAAUCCUUCCUAUCUAAAUUAAUUUUAUACAUAGGUCUCAAGAAUUAAGAAAAUAUCAAUUUAACCUAUUAAUUGCCAUCUAAAAUAAUAUCUAAGAUACUCAAUUAAUGACUUAACUCACCUGGAACAUCUCAAGAAUCGAUACUCUCCAUUUCCGUAAGUCAUAAAUCACGUAUACAAACUAUGGAGAGCGCUAAAAUAGGGAAGAUAAGAAAAUUUCACAAACGACUGGCAGGGUAGAGAGUUAUGUUCUGUAGCAAUCAGUAGUUCUAAACACAACACUAACAUAUACAGUCAAACUUUAUUAUCGUGACAAUGUUUGCCUGAAAACUUUGUAGCUGUUGUAGACUGGUGUUGUUAUAUAUGUAUGCUGAUAUUUAAUGCUUAGAUCUCAUUUAACUAUUAUAAACAAAAGUAUGUAAAACUAGAAAGAAUAUGAAUGUAGAAAAGACAAACAUGAGUAGCCUUUUCCUCGUGAAGUUAUCAAAUAAUUGAUACACCAUUUCAAUAGAUUUUUUUCUUUAAAUUAAAUAUCCGUAUUUGAAAUUUACUGUAAGCAUGACUUUAAAUCUUUAAUGAUGAUCACCAUAAAUAUUUUGAUAUUUUAUUUUGUACAUAAUAUAUUUCUGUACUUACAUAUAUAAUAUUUGAGUAUGCUAUUACAGAGAGAAAAUUUAUAAAGAGUGUACCGCUAUAAUAAAUGGCAUUGUCGUUAUAGGUACAUUGUUGUUAUAGAAGUAAAAUAUAACAUGAAAAAUUAAUUUCGGAGAAAAUCAGCUAGUAAAAUAUUGUUAUAAUGAGGUGACGUUAUAGAGAGAUCUGACUUUAUGAUAUUUAAUGAAUCUCAAUUAUAAUUGAAAAUUGAAUAACAAUGUAUAAUAGUGAACAAAGAUUAACGGGUAAAUCUUAGAAUUACAUGGAAAAAGAUAACUAGAAGGAGAUGAGAUAUUACAACAUAAAAAAAAUAAAAAAAAUGAUAAUAGACUAAGCCAAAACUUCAACAUAAUUUUCAUGCCCUUUUGCAAUACGAGGUUCUCUAUUAAUAACCCUCGGAUCCCUCGAAAAAUAUUUCAAUAUCAAAAAAUGCCCUUUAUCUCAGCAUUUUGGCCAAUUGUGUUCAUACCCAGUGGCGGCCCUAGGUUGAAAAUUGUGAUGUUUCGACACGCGUUAAAUUCGAUGUAGAUAGGUAUAAUUAUAUAAGAAAUGUAUAAAAAUGGUAUAAGAUGAAGAAAAAAAAAAAAAGUACCCCUGAAACCAAUAAGAUAGCUGGAUGCUUUGAUUUUCAUGCGAAACCUUAAAGCUUUAGUAUCAAUAUAUGUGUUUAAACCUCCCGAACACCCACAACUUCUAAAUUCUGAGUCCGCCACUGUUCAGAGCUUGUUCAAAGAAAUCUUAUAGGAUCCUAAAAGAUUGUAUAGUAAAGUUGUGGUAUAAUUAUAAUUCAAGUGUAAUCAUAAUUGCUUUUCAAUCAUCUAUUUUAAAUACAAUUAAGAUUGUCAUUUAUUCAUUUUCUAUAAUAUAAUACUUGUAGUUGUAGUUAUUAGUUUUAAAUUCAAUAGUAUAAAACAUGUAACUAAUAAUGGCAUUUCUUAAUGAAUAAAUGAUUGUAUAUUUUUGUGCAUGCAUAUCUCAUAAAAGCUGUCGUAACUUGAAAAAAAAAAUUGAUUUUCAAUUAACCGUUUUUAAAUAAAAUCUGUUUAUUUAUUGGAAAAUAUGAGUCAAUCUUAAUUAAACGUCUGAAAUAAUUUUAUUUGUUGUAAAAUUAUUAAAUGAGUAGUUCUCAAGAUGUCAUUAAGCUUGAUCACAAUGGAUACUAUUCCCUUUUAAUAUAAUACAGAUAUUAAGCGAUUUGAAAUUAAAAUUAAGAUAUAUCGAAAGAAACAUGACAAAAAUGCACUUACCCUAAUAUUUACUCAAUCCGUCAUUUUGUUGGCAUCUCGCAUUCACGUCCUCGUUUGACUUCCGAUUGGAAAUAUAGUUAUAGAUAGGUUAGUCUUAGUGUGUCGUUGCCUCUACAUGUUACCUCCUUCAAUAACAUGAUUGUUGUCAUCGAUAUACUUCAUAAGUCACUCAGUCAUCUGUGCGUCACUGCGAAUCUUACUUUACACUAUAGUAAAAUGUUUGAGAAAUGAUUAGUAAAAUAUUUUUUGAGAAAGGUGAGGUCAUCAUUCAAUGAAUUUAACAAAUACUGAACUAAUUAAGUCAGAGAUUAAAAUUACUAAAAUAUCAUUAUGUUAUAUUUUGAGAUGAGACAUUGAUUAAUAAAAAUAAUUAAUAACAUGCCUAGUUUAUCAUAGUACCUCUAUUAAAUGAUGUUUAAAAUUUAAUUUGAAGAAAAAGUAAUUAAUGCAAAGGGUAAAAUAUGAAGAAAAAAAAAUUGUCUUAGCUUGAUUAAUGAAAAAAGGUAAGUAAAAUGGGACAUCAAAUUAGGAAAUUUUGGACGAGUAAUUUGAGACGGAGAGAGUAAGAAACAAGAAGAUCUUUAAUUCAUGAAAAGGUAAAAUUAAUGAUAUUUUGAUAAGAAUUUCACUUUAAGAAAAAAAAUAAUCUUAUCCAAAAGGGGAAUAUAAUUUAAAUUUUCAACACUAUAAAUAUGUAUGAAAAAUGGGUUUUAUUUCAAUCAUUUCAAAAUAAUUUUCACAAAAAAAGACUCAAGAUUAUUUGAGAAAAAUAAUGGCUAUGACUAAGCACUUGAUUUUCUUCACUAUACUUCUUUUUGUCAUCUUCCCUACUCAUGAAUGUAAGUAUAAUUUAAAAUUUUCAUUCUUCAUUAUACUUUUAAAGAUAAUAAUUUUGUUGCUAACAUAUUUAGCUAUGAUAUUUUGCUAUGUGAGUGUGUCAAUAUUGAUGUUGACAAGGCUAAAACUUAAAAGUAAUGGUACAUAGUAUUUUUUUUUUUUUAAUUUGUUUUGGUAUGGUUUGUUUGUUCUUUUUUAGUUAUUGAUUUGGCAGGGACAAGGAUAAGGGAUAUAUAAUGAUUGUUUUUUUAGUUAAAAUUUAGAAAUUAGGUUUCAAAUAUUUGUUUGUAUUAGUUGAUGAUAAAUGGAAAAUUUGACAGAAAUUAAAAAUUUGAAAGUCAAUGCAGAAAUUAGAAUAGACUGUUUAUAGGAUGGAAGAAAUUUAGAACAAAAGAAUAUUGUUGUUUUAGGAGUAAAUCAAAUUGAUGAUUUUUAUGAGGAUUGUUGAAAAGAGAAUAUAGCCAUUUAAUUAAUUUGAGUUUAAGUUUUAUUGGAAAUAGUCUCCCUACUUUUUAACAUGGGAAUAUUAUACCCGUAAAUCCUAUUUUAUGGGAUUACGUACAUUGAAUAUAUUGUUUUCAUUUUUGUUUAGAAUAUCAAUCUUGAACUCAAAAAUUUGUAUCAGUAUUAUUAUAUUCUAUAAUUAUUAAUUAGUCAUGUUUCAUUUACUUCUACUCCUCCUUUUUUUGCGAUAUUUUCUUAUUUGAAAGAUGUUUUGCUUUCAAGCAAUAGUACGUUAUCCAUUCAAUAUUACUUGUCAUAUUUAGAAUCGGCACGCUCAUUAAGAAAAUGAUGGUGACAUGACUAUUUUGUCACACCAUUUCUAUUAGUUAAUAUUUAGUAUUACGUCGUGAAAUUAUAAAAAUAAUUUGCAUAAUUAAUAAUUAAUGCUAGGGUAAAAUAUGAAAACAUAGUCGUGUAUUAUAUUCCUGAUAUGUUAAAAAUGAAAAUCUAUUUUUUAAAGUAAUAAAUAAGUAAAAGUGAACGGAUGAAGUACUUUGAUUGCCUAAGUAUAAUGUUUUAAGUUCAUUGUUUUAAAAAAAUAAGUAUCGAAAAAAUAGCAUGAAAAAAUCAUAAAAUAUUUGAAUGAGCAAAACUGAAAUCAAAAGAAUUAUAAUUAUUUUAAUUAUUCAAAUUAAAUGUGGAAUCAGUUGGGACCAAUAAUUUCUUUCGGAAUGGAUUGAGACGUGUAUAUGUGAAUUUGAGGGAAGGAGAGAAGAUUAAAAAAUUAUGAAUAUUUAAGAGGAUUAAAAUAUAAUAAAUAUGAAUAAUUAUGAAGACUGUCAAUGUUAUGAAUAUUUAUCAAAUUCAAUGUGAUUUAUAACUACUAUAAUGCAAGUUAGAAAAUCAAAGGCCUCAAAAUACUCUUAGCUAAUUUAUGAAAACAUUAGGGAGAAAUUACAAAAGAGAGAGAGAGGUUGACUAUAGAACUCCGACUCAAGAUUAAAAAAAAAUAAUUCAUAAAAGACAUGGUGUAGGAAGAAUAGAUAUAACUCAUUGCUGCACCCUUAACCAGAGGUCGAGGGUUCGACCCUGGACAUGGAGAAAACUCUGUUGGGAGCGCUACCCCCCGAAUGGGGCCAUACCCGGUGUGAAUCCAAAUUAGUCGGGCUCCAUUGCGGGUAUCGGAUGAAAAACUAAAAAAAAUAAAUAGAUAUAACUCAACAAAUAAUAAUAGAAACAAGACAACCACAAAAUAAUGCUCCAAUUGAUCUAUCUGAAAUAGUAAUUAUUACCAAAACUCCACAAGCAAGACAUUACAAAUAUAGCACUGGCACAGGUACCAAAACAAAGCACUCCUACCUACGAGAACAAGAACACACUAUCUACUAACCUUCUACCAUAAUUCACCUCUAUCUAAUAUUUCUUCGAUCUACCACUUAAUUCUUUACAUGAAGUCAUGAACUUAUAAUAUAUUACUACAACUCUUAUUUCUUUUAGAUAGUGUCUUAUGCAUAGGGUUACAAUUUUAUAGUCAUAACCACCUAUUUUCUUUAUUUAAAGGAUCACAUUUUCUUUAUUUAAAGAAUCACAUUUUAUUUAAAUCCGUACAACAAAACAGGUUUGGAAGUCAUUAUUAUUUGUUAUAUAAUAUAUAAUUAUAACCAAAUAAUGUUUUAAAGUCAUUAUAAUUUAUUUUAUUUUUUAAAAAAGAAAUAAGAAAAACUCAAGCAUAUAAAGGACACAAACUUAUGUUUGGUCAUGAAUGAGGACACUAACUUUAUACCUUAUUUGUCUACUUUCAAUACUUCUACCGUUUUAUCUUAACAUAUAUUUUACACUUUUAAAACAGCAUAUAUAUUUUUUUCGUUCUUAAACACUUGUCAUAUUUUAUUUUGCAUAGUAUUUAAGUACAACUUUAAUUAGAGAAUGAACUGAUUAAAUUAUUCUUAUUUUCUUUAAUUUAUUUCAACUUAAUAUAGUACUUGACCCCUUUGCACCAUAUAUAUAUAUAUAUAUAUAUAUAUGUUCAUGUAUAUUAAUGACGAAGGGUAAAGGUAUAAAUGAGCAAACUAAUGAUAUCUUUAUUUUCUAAAAUGACAAAUACCUCUCUAUUUCUUUUUAGUUAUUAUGAUAAGAUUUUACACAAUUAUUAAGAAAAAUUAAUUAGGAGUGUAAUUUGACUCAUAUAUCCUUUAUUAAUCUUUGACUAUUUGUCUAUUAAUUCUAGAAUAAUUAAGACUAAGAGAAAAGUUGUAAAAAUAUAAUUAAUUCACUCUUAGAUUUUUUAAUUGACCAAUAUUGGAAACAACAAUUUUCAUUAUAUAACAACUAAAAUAAAAUAGAAAGAGUAUUGCGAGUCAUCUAUUUAUAGUAAGAAAGAUAUACAGUAUCUAGGAACGAAAGUCGUAUUAUAUUUUAUGUUAUAUUUUUAAAAUUUUGUAAUUAAUAAUAUAACAAACACAAAAUAAUUUAUUUUUUAUACAUUUAUCAUUAUUGACAUUAUAUACACGUGCAAAACACGUACAUUAGACUAGUGCAUAUAAUAGAUGAUGGUAAAUCUUUUUAACCUCUUCGUUUCUUUACUUCUUUAUUCUUUUACUUAUUUAUAUUUUUAAUUAUUUUUUUAAUGAAAAUUCCGACGUCAUCAAUAAUAUUUAAGGUUCUAUUGUCUCUCAUGUUAGCAAUCAUUUAUGUAUAUAAACAUUAAACUUGUUUUUAUUUUUAUGUUAUAUUUUACUUUUAUUGCAGGUGAAACUGAUAAUCACGAUACAGUUCGAUUUCUAUCUACCGUUAAUGCUAAAAAACUCAAAAAUAGAAAACUUAUUGAUCUUGGGAGCUGUGUCCAAGUAUCUUUAUCAUGGUGUUGUGAACCUAAUUAUGAAGAAGGGUGUUAUGGUUCAGAAGAGGCUUGCUCAGAACAUUGUCCCAUUUGGCCUCCCCUUAAUUAAUAGUUGUAAUUUAUUUAACAAAUCAUCUUCUAAGAGUUUUGUUAAAUAUUUUAUGAAGCUUCAUGUAUAAAAAUAUAACAUUAUUAGUUUCAUAAUAUAAUGUCAAUAUUUGUUCUUUCUUUAUGUUAUUGUGUUGUUGUCGUAAAGUUUCAUUUCGUACAAACAUGGGUUGUGGUGUAGUGGUGGGACUACUUCACUCUUAACUAGAGGUCUCCGGUUCGAGCCCUGGAUAUGGAGAAAACUCUGUUGGGAGCGUCAUACCCAGAAUGGGCCCUACAGUGCACGAAUCAGAUUAGUUGGGGUUCCAAUAAGAGUGUCGGACACUAAGUGAGAAACCAAAAAAAAAAAAAAGUUUCGUUUCGUGACAUGAAUUGUUUAAAUCUGAUAUUUCAAGAAUAUGAAACUCCGUUGACAAGAGCAUAAUGAUAUCACCGGCUGAAGAUAAGUAAAUUCUUUAGUUUAGGGUUUAGUCAGACUGAUCAAAACCCAAUGGCUGCUUCAGAUGCUGACCAAUUAGCCUGUUGUGAACCGGUCAAACUAAAUCCAGAUCACAUUGGAAAGUCCCACAUUAAUACACGAAUGAAGAAGUCAAGCAUGCUUCAUUUUUCAUUAGUCAAUUUGACUCAUUUUCAAAGCUAAAUUAGAUUAGAUUCAAUUUUUUAAAAUUAAAAUUUAGAUAUUCAGGAAUUAUAUUAAAAGUAUUAUAAAUCGCGAUUUUUCUUUUUUCAAUUUAAUUAAGAAAUACAUCCUGAAAUGUUGGUCAAAUUUUUUGGAUAUAAAACGAAUUAAAAUUAAAAUUAAGAUAGAUUUAAAGAAACAUGAACGAAAUGCACUUAUCCUAAUAUUUUCUCGGUUCGUUUUAGGGAUGUAGUUUUAGAUAAGCUAGUUUUAGCGGUCAUUGACUUCACUUGUUAUUUCCUUUUACGUCAUGUUAUCGUCGUCGUCAUAUUCCAUAUGUCAAUUAGUCAUUUCUGUCUCGCUGCAAUCUUACUUUACACGAUUAUAAAAUGUUUGAGAAAUAAUUCGUCAAAAUAUAUCUUAUUAGGAUGAGGUUAAAUUGAGAAAGGUGACAUCAUUAUUCAAUGAAUUUAUCAAAUAUCGACUUAAUUAAGUUGUAAUUGAAAUAUCUAAAAUAUCAUUAUGUUUUAGUAAGUAAAUUAAUAAAUUAUUUAAUAAGAAUUUCACUUUAAGUAAAAAAAUGAAAUUAUCCAAAAGGGGAAAAUAAUUUAAAUUUUUAACACUAUAAAUAUCUAUAAAAAUGUGUUUUAUUCAAUCCCUCCAAAAUAAUUUUCACAAAAAACUCAAGAAUAUAUGAGAAAAAUGAUGGCUAUGAUCACUAAGCACUUGAUUUUCUUCACUUUAAUUCUUUUUGUCAUCUUUCCUCCUCAUGAAUGUAAGUAUAAUCGAAAAAAAUCAUUUUUCAUUUUACUUUAAAAUUAGAAUUAGCUAUGAACUUCAUCGUUAAAUUGCUCGUUGCUAACAUGUUUUGUUACUGAAUUUAUUCGACACUAGUUCCUAUAUUUUUAAUCAAGAUUUGUCUUAUAUUUUACAAGGUAGAAUUAAUACUUCUUGUCAGUGAGUUCGUUUUUUUUCAUAUAUCGAGAAAUGGAAAGUAUCGCAAGAAAUUUGAAUGAAUAUAUAAGGUGAAAAAUAUUUUUUUAUGUAUACAUAUAGUAAAUGUUAAAUUUCAUUGACUUCUUCGUUUCUUUACUUCUUUAAUUUUUUACUUCCUUAUAUUUUAUUACCUCCUUAACUAAAAUCCUAACGUCAUCGAUAACUUAAGGUUCGAACCUUAAAUUUCUAAUUGAGAUUAGUUGAAGGGCCCUCCCACCAAAAUUUUUGUUUAUUUUUUGUCUCUCAUAUUAAACUUGUUUUUAUUUUUAUGUUAUAUUUUAAUGCAAGUGAAGAAUUAAUUGAUAAAUAUUGAAUCUGUUGACUUUUUGUUUCUUUACUUUUUUAUUUUUUAUCUUUUUAUUACAUCCUUAAUAAAAAUACAGACGUUAUUGCUAAUUUAAGGUUCGAAUUAAAUUUUUUUGACUGAAAUUAGUGGAGGGACCCUCCCACCAAAAUUCUUAUUUAUUUUUUGCCUCUUAUAUUAAGUUUGUUUGCAUUUUUAUGUUAUAUUUUAAUGUAGGUGAAAAAUUAAUUGAUAAAUGUUGAAUCUCUUGAUUUUUUGUUUCUUUAUUAUUUCAUUUACUUUUUUAUAUGUUUAUUACAUUUUUAAUGAAAAUUUUGACGUCAUCGAUAACCUAAGAUUCAAACUCAAAUUUCUGACUGAGAUUACCGGAGGGACCCACCCACCAAAGUUCUUUUUUAUUUUUUUUGCCUCUAAUAUUAAACUUGUUUUCAUUUUUAUGUUAUAUUUUAAUUCAGGUGAAGAACUAACUGAUAAUCGCGAGACAGUUCGAUUCCUAUAUACCGUUGGUUUUAGAGGGAGAAUCGUGACGAAACUCAAAGCUAGGAAACUUAUUAAUCUUGGGAAGUGUGUCCACGUAUCUGUAUCAUGGUGUUGUAAAUCUGAUACAGAAGUAUGUUAUGGUUCAGAAGAGGUCUGCUCAGAAAAUUGUCUUAUCUGGCCUCCUAGCUCUUAAUUAAUGAUUUUAUAUACUAGACGCAGGAGUCUGUGCAAAUACGGGGUCCAAUAUAUAUUACGUUUUGUUUCAAUUUAUGAUAUUAAUAAAUUUUAGAGAUUAUCAAUUUUUUGUAUGAUUUUUAAAUAUGUCUAGUUGAUUAUUAUGAUGUGUAAUACAUUUGAUAUAAUUAUAAAAUAAUAUAUGUUAUUCUUGCCGCUUCAAUUUAUAUUUAUCAAUGGAAUUUGAAGAGUUAACCAAUUUUUUUGUAUAACUUUUAGAUUUUGGUAUGAUUUUUAAAUGUUUUAAGUUGUUAGUUAUUGUGAUUUUCAAUACUUUACGUAAUUUUCAGACAAUAUAUGGUAUUCUCUUUAUGUAAAUUAUGUGACAUUGACGAAAUUUGAAGAGUCGACCAAUAUUUUUGCGCAUAGUUUUUUUUUUCUUACAUAUUUUGAGUUUUUAAUCAUUGUGAUUUAUAAUACUUUCUGUGUUAUUUAUAGAUAAUCUAUGUUACUUAAAAUAACUUUUAUAAUUGUUAUUAAUUAAAUAGCAAGUGAAAACUCAGUUAUAUUUUCAACUUGUUUUAAUCUCUAACCAUGUAAUGUCAAUUUUAUUCAAAAUAGGACCUAAAUUGACUCAUUUAAAAUCCUAAAUGAACCCAAUCCAAUAACCUUCAACCCGAUCCAAAUUCUAAUUUUAAUCGUAACCAUCCACACCUUUUGAUCGGAUGAUCCCUAUCCAUUCCCUAUCAUAUUUUCUUUUUUACUUUACCCUAUCACUCUUAAACUUUAUCCAUUUCCCCAACCCCAACCGUCAGGUCACCGCUUGCCGAAAACACCAUAAUAAAAUCACUCUCCUUCUUUUCUCAUCUCCUUACGCCAUAGUCCAUGCUUAGCUCUUCUCCACGUAGUGAUGAACCUAUAUACACUUGAAGAUAUUUAUCUUUAAAGUUUGUCAAAAGUUAACACUCAUAGUCGUUAAAUAUUUAUCCAACUCUGUUAGAUUUAACAUAAACAAUGAAAUAGAAGUUUCUGCAAAUAUUAAAAAAGACCUGUCAGAUUCUAAAAUAUUCAACAUGCGGCCUUGCAUAUAUUUUCACAUAUGUGGACCCUAUAUCUUCCAUUUAUUUUAUUUUUUAUUAAUCUUUUUUUAUGUAUAAAAUUAUUUCAAAUAUAUUAUAUUUAAGUAAAUUGAUUAGUAAGAUGAUAAUUUAUUUUAAAAAUUAAUUAUUGAUACAAUUAAUUAAAUUUUAUUCUUUAUUUAAUUUCAUAUCAAAUAUAUAAUUUACUUUCUUUCUUAUUUGUUAUUACAAUUUCACCUAAUUUAAUUUAUUUUUCUAAUAUAUAGAAGAGAAAAUUUUGAUAUGCCUACUUAUAUUGUCUUCUUCAACUGCUUUAAUCGUGAUUUUAUUAUAUUGCCCAUAAUUAAUUAUUAUAAGUCAUUUAUAUAUUAAAAAAUUAAUAAUAUUUAAUAUAAAAAAUAAAAUAAACAUGUAUAACAUGUCUUCUUCAGCUGCUUUAAUCGUAAUUUUACUAUAUAUCAUCCCUAAUUAAUUAUUAUAAGUCAUCUAAGUAUUUAAAGCAGCUCUUCAUUGAUCUUUCGGCUUCAGUUAUUUGCUCCGUGAUUUUACUAUAUCAUUCCUAAGUAGUUAUUAUAAAUUAUUUACAUAUUAAAAGAUUAAUAAUAUCUAAUAAAACAAUAGAAUAGACAUUUAUGAUAUGUCUGCAUCAACUGCUUUAAUCAUAAUUUAAUAAAUAUGACCUCUAAUUAAUUAUUAUAAGCCAUCUAAGUAUUAAAUAAAUAAAUAAUAUUUAAUUAAAAAGAUAAAAUAGAUAUAAAAUGAUAAGUCAACUCUUGAUGUUUUAAAAUAAUUUGACGUCUUAAGUGAGAUUUCAUUUACUUUUUUUUUUCACAAGUAUCUUUUAUAGAAAUUCUAUUAUAUCACUUCUAAUUAGUUGUUGUGAGUCAUUUAAGACAUGUCUAUUUCGUUGCUUCAAUCGUGAUUUUACUACAUCACCUCUAAUUAAUUAUUAUAGUCAUCUAAGCAUCAUGUCACUUAAAUUGGAGUAGAAAAAGUUUUAUAAUCUAUUAUAUAUUUUUAUAAAAUACUUAAAAAAUACUAUAAAUCACAAUAAUUAACAACUUAAAAAUUUUAAAUGAUAUAAAUAUUUGAUUGACUCUCGAAAUUAUACCAGUUUCACUUAAAUUGAAAUAGAAGAAAAAUAUUAUAAAUCACAAUAACUAAAAUUUUAAAUUAUUUAAAAAAUACAAUUGACUAUCAAUGCCACAAAAGUUUGAAUAGAGAGAGUAACAUAUGUUAUUUAAAAAUUACAUAAAAAAAUUAUUAUAGAUUACAAUAUUAACAACUUAAAAUACUUAAAAACAUAUUAAAAGUAUGAUCGAUUAUCUAAAUUCAAUUUGUGUCAUAUAAAUUGAGACAAAAAAAUAUAUAUUGAGCUCAUGCUAGAUCUUGGAUGGCUCUUAGGAUGUAUAUGCAAUCCAACUUUUUUUUCUUUUUAGCUUUUGUUUAAAUAUAUUAAAAUUGAAAAUACAAGUUCUAAUACAGUGCAUAAGAAAUAAUGUUAGCAUAAAUAAUACCAAUAUUAUUAAUACAAGUAUUAUUAAUGUAAACAUUAUUAAUACAUUCUAUCGGCAUUAUUUUUGUACACUCUAACAAAAGACUCCACGUUUCAAUGUAAGGAACAUAUAUAAAAGCAAAGUUCAAUAAAAUAUCUACAUAAAUAUAUUUUAUCGUGUUCUCAAAGUCAAAUAAUUUAAAUUAAUAUGAAAGAUGGUAACUUAUAGUUUUCUUUUCUAUAUAAUUUUUAAAACACUUAAAAUUUGAAUUUAAAAUAUUAAUUUAGUUUGACUUCAAAGAACAAGGUGACAAAUAAAAGAGAAGGAAAAAAUGAAAGCAAAUGAUAUUUAUGGCGACUUAGUAAGGGAAUAUAAUGCGGGUUAUUAAUUGCAAUUCACAUGUGAUGUAAUAUGUAAUGACUAGAUAACCCUUUAUCUUUUUCAACACCUAUUCUCAAAUCUCAUGUAUUAUUUUUAAUCUCAAAUUUUCUACUUAAUGUAGCAAAUCUCAAUCAUAUGACUAAAGAUAUAAAUUUUUAAAUGCAUCAAAUUUUAUUGUUUAUAUGAGUAAGUUGUACAUAAUUAUCUUGUAAAACUUAACUCCGAGAUAAAUACUACCAAGUUGUUAAUAUGUUUUGUAUAUUCAUGUUUUAUAAUUCAUAAUUCAAAUUAGUAUCAAUUUAACUUAUUGUACAUAAUAAAAAUAUCUUAACAUUAUGGAGUAAAUAUGAAACUAAUUGAAAUUAAAAUUAAGAUAUAUUGUAGAUAAGUUAGUUUUAGCAGAUCGUUAAUUUCAUUUGUUAUUUUCUUCUACGAUAUAUUAUUGGUGUUACCAUAUAGUAGAUGUUAAAUCUUUUUAACUUCGUAAUAAAAAUUCCGACGUCUUCAACAUUCGAAUCCGAAAUUUCUUAUUGAGAUUAGUGGAGGGACCCUUCCACUAAAAUCCUUGGUAGUAAAUAAAUGAAAUUUCCACGGGGUCAAUAUAUAUUACGCGUUUUGUUUCAAUUUAUAUGAUAUCGAUAAAUUUUAGAGAUCAUCAAAUUUUUGUAUGAUUUUUAAAUAUUUCUAGUUGAUUGUUGUGAUGUGUAUGUAAUACAUUUGAUAUAAUUUUUAAAUAAUAUAUUUACUUCUGCCGCUUCAAUUUAUGUUCACUAAUGGAAUUUGAAGAGUUAGCCACAUUUUUGACAUAAUUUUUGAAUUUUGGUAUGAUUUUUAUGUGUUUUAAGUUUUUUAAUUAUUGUAAUUUAUAAUACUUUACAUAAUUUUCAGAUAAUAUAUGUUAUUCUCUCUAUGUUAAUUACGUGAUACUGAUGAAAUUUAAAGACUCAAUCGAUAUUAUUGUAUAUAGUCUUUUUUUUUUUUUUUUACAUAUUUGGGUUUUCAAUUAUUGUGUUUUCAGAAUCCAAUGGCUGCUUCAGAUGUCAAUCAGUUAACUUGUUGUAAACCAGACAAACUAAAUUCAAAUCAUAUUGGAAAGUGCCACUUUGAUAUACGAAUACAAAAAUACUUACCCCUCCGCUACAAGUCUUGUUGAUGAAUGUUGACAUAGUUAAUUAACCUUUAUCUAAUUUUCUAUUUUUCCACCGUAAAACUAUAUUUGGCAGAAUUUCAUAUUAAUAACGUGUUAUAAAAUAAUAAUAAAAUACUAAACAAGCUGUUGUACAAGCGACUUGCUUGUGCAAGCAUAUCAAAAUUACAUGUUUAUCUGAUCGCAAGCUUAUUCAAGAAGUUGUGAAAUGGACAUAGACAAUACUGUAUAUUUAUAGUUAUACUACAAUGAUAUCCGUCGAAGAUAAGUAAAAUUCUUUAAUUUAGGACUGCUUCAGAACUUCAAAUGCCAACUAGUCAAACUAAAUUCAAAUUCCCAUUUAAAAGUCUCAUAUUAAUAAUCAAUGAAGAAAUUCACUUUAAUGAAAUUUAUUGUGCAUAAUAAUUUUGAGCAUCUCAUUUCACACACACACAUAUUUAUUUAUUUAUUUAUUUAUAUACACGAGAAAAUUGAUAAAAAUUGUCUUAUAUGUUUGAGAAUAGGUUUCAAAAUAGUUUUUUAAGUAUACACUUAAAAAUAUUUGUCGUUGAAGUCUGUCAAACGUUAACACUCGUAGCAUUAUAUAUUUACCCAACUCUAUCGGUUAGAUUAAACAUAAACAGUAAAAUAGAAGUUUCUACAAAUAUUAAGAAAGAUCCGUCAAAUUUUAAAAUAUACAACACAAACUACUUUUAGACACUUACAUAAGAAAAAUAGCAAGAAUUAUAACGGAAGAAGUUACACCAAAUUCUAAAAAUAAAUUAAAAGUAGCAUAACUACAAAAUUUUUAAUUCAAAAUGUGGAUUAUGGCUAUUUUUUUUAUAGUUCCCGUUAAAUCUAAUAUACAAAAGUCGGUAAAAUAUUUGACGGAUUAAAAGAUUGGGCAAAAUAACAUAAAUUCCAACAGUCUAGAGCUUAAUUACAGAUCAUUCCGAUAAUUUUUUUAGAAAAUUUCAAUUUUAUAAUUAGCUCCCGACACAUCCAACGAAGAUAUAUAUUUUUUUCUUUGUAAAGAUACAUAAUUAGCUCACAAUACGUUUUUUCGAUUUUGGGUUUGUCAAGAUACAUAAUACAUCCGAUGAAGAUACAUUUUUUUCUUGUAAAGAAUUAAAGAUACGUAAUUAGAUUCAGAUAUAUUUCUUUUUGAUUUUGAGUCUGUCGAGAUACAUUAUUAGCUCCCUGAUACAUCCAAUGAAAAUACAUUUUUCUUUGUAAAGAUAUAUAAUUAGCUCUAGAUAUACAUUUUUUUCAAUUUUGGGUCCGUCGAGAUAUAUAAUUAACUCUCUAGUACAUCCAAGGAAAAUACAUAAUUAGCUAAAAUUUUUGUAAUUAUUUUUUAAGGGUGAUAAUUUGUAUAAAUAUAAACUUAGACGAUCAAAACUGUCAAAAAAUAUACUUUAAGAUACUAUUCUGAACCCAUGUCCAAAUAUAAGGGACCAUUUUAUUAAAUUUUUCCAUAUAUAAAUUCCUUAACGUAAUUCAUAUUUUGGUAUCUAUUAUUUUUUUCUUUUGAUUUUUCGGUUUCAAAUUCCUUUCUUCACCUUCUCCUUGUCAUAUUUUGCUAAGAUUUUGUCAGGUAUAUUUCCAUUUUCUUUCUGUUUCAUAUUUAAUUUACUGAUUUUUUUAAAUUUGUAUUUAUUUAUUUAGUUAUUUUUUUGUGUUUUGUGAGUUUGAUCUGUUAAUUGUGUUUCUUGAAAGUUGUAUAAAUUUGAGUUUCUUGGUGUUUUCUGAAUUGGGUUAUUGAUAAAUCAAAACUUGAUUGUUUCUUGAACUUGUUGGAAAUGAUUUGGUUGAUUGAAUUGCUAAUUACUGGUAAAGUUACUUGUUUUUUUUCUUGGUAUAAGUUGCUUUUUAUUGGUUAAUUUAAUUGUUAGUCUUGUUAUGUGUUACUUCAGAUAGAGUCUUUCGAAAAUAACUUCUCUAUUCUACCCUCGCUAGACCCCACUAUACAUUGGAUUUGUUGUUGUUGUUGUUGUUUGUUAAUUUGAUUGCAGUCUUGUUAUGUGUUACUUGAGCUUUUUUAUAACCACGAGGUAGGGGUAAGAUCUGCGUAUGCUCUACCUCCGUUAGAUCUCUACCUCCGUUAGAGGCCACUUGUGGAAAUACGCGGGGCAUGUUGUUGGUUAAUUUAAUUGAUGUCUUGUUAUGUGUUACUUUUUUUUUUUUUCCUGAGCUGGGGGUGGGGGUUUAUCUGGAACAACCUCUCUACUUCUUCGGAGGUAGUGGUGUUGCGUACGUUUACCCUCCCCGGACCAUACUAUGUGGAAAUACUCUGGGUUUGUUGUUGUUGCUUGUUAUGUGUUACUUUAGUUGAGGGUCUUUGGGAAAGUUCCUAUGUAUAUACACGAGGUUAGGGUAAGGUCUGCGUACACUCUGCUCUCCCUGACCCCGCUUGUAGGAAUACACGGGGUAUGUUGUUAUUGUUUGUUGGUUAAUUUGACUGUUGUCUUGUUAUGUUUGAGAUUUUUUAUAACCAUGACUUAGGGGUAAGAUCUGUGUAUGCUCUACCUUCGUUAAACCCCACUUGUUGAAAUACACGGGGCAUGUUGUUGUUGUUAUUGGUUAAUUUAAUUGUUGCUUGUUAUGUGUUACUUUAGUUGAGGGUCUUUGGGAAAGUGCCUAUGUAUAUCCACGAGGUAAGGGUAAGGUCUGCGUGCACCAUACUCUCCUAAAUCCCGCUUGAAGGAAUACAAUGGGUAUGUUGUUAUUGUUUGUUGGUUAAUUUGAUUGCAGUCUUGUUUUGUGUUACUUGAGCUUUUUAAUAACCACGAGGUAGGGGUAAGAUCUGUGUAUGCUCUACCUUAGUUAGACCCCACUUGUGGAAAUACAGGGGGCGUGUUGUUGUUGGUGAUGGUUAAUUUAGUUGGUGUCUUGUUAUGUGUUACUUUAGUUGAGUCUCUUUGGGAAAGUGCCUACGUAUAUCCAUGAGGUAGGUGUACGGUCUGCGUACACUCUACUCUCCUGCGUACACUCUACUAUCCUAGACCCCACUUAUAGGAAUACAUUGGGUAUGUUGUUGUUUUUUUUGUUGGUUAAUUUGACUGUUGUCUUGUUAUGUGUUACUUGAGCUGAGGAUCUUUCGGAAAUAGCUUCUCUAUCUCUAUGCUCUACCUUCGUUAGACCCCACUUGUGGAAAUACACGGGAUAUGUUGUUGUUAUUGUUUUUAUUGGCUGAUUUAAUUGCUGCUUGAUUCCUUGAUCACCUUGUAGGUUUGUUUGGUAUAAUGAUUUUUGUUCUUCCGUUCUCUAAAUCCGAGUCUUUUAUUAUGCCAUAUAAUAUAAAGAUGAGAGUGGCAAUAUUAUAUGAAAAUAUAGCAAAGUAGUUCAACAAGUAGUGAGUUGUGCUAAAAAAUAACUAAAAAGGCUAAUUAGUUACCCCGCGUGGUCCCACAAAAUGGGGUCUGGAGAGGGUAGAGUGUAUGCAGACCUUACGUAUAUCUCAGAAGUAGAGAGAUUGUUUUCGAUAGACCCUCAGCUCAAGGAAAAACGGUCCAAAGCAGUCUAAAAAAAGAAGUAACGAAAGUACAAGAAACAACGGAUAAUAAACAAAAUUGUACUAGAACAAUACAAUACAAUACAAUUAGCCAAAGAACAAGACACAACAAAUAGUAACAUAAACCGAUGGACAAGAAACUACAUGAGCAAUACUAUGACUAGUAUGGACGGACAUCAAGACAAACACUCUUACCUAUUGACCUUCUACCCUAAUUUGUGUCCUCCACAAUCUCCUAUUUAAGGCCAUGUCCUCGGUAAGCUGAAACUACACAUGUUCUAUCUAAUCACUUUUCCCAAAUACUUCUUCGAUGUACCUCUUCCUCUUCUGAAACUAUCCAUAGCAAAUUGUUUACACUAACAGAAUGUCGAGACAAGCUUGAUAUGUUAAUAUGUUUGUAAGUUUGAUACGAGAAACUCGUACUGGUAUUUACUUCGUACACCAUUUUUAGGACAUUUUACAUGCUUAGUGUCUCUGUUUUCUUCAUUCUUAUAUAGAAUUUAUAUGGAGUAUCGCGAGAAUGUUUAAAUGAUGGAAAUUGGUUGAAAGUUCCUUACAGAAAAAUUAGAUACCAAAGUUGAAUCGAAACUAUAAAACUGGUAUUAAUCGGAUGAUUGCCUUGCUUCCAUCUGAUUUAGAUCUAUAUAGGGGAUAUGUUCCUUAAAUUUUAUUCUUUCAAACAUGAAUGACUCCUUAUUGUAUUCAAUUGUUACAUCAUGUAAGGUUCAUUUUCCACUAUUACACGGUGAUUUUCUUUUAUAGUGCGUUCACAAAGAUCACAAAGUUCAUUCAAGUCAAAUCUGUUAUUUCAGUCUCUGCGAAUUUUUGUUUUGCUUUGUCUAGUACUUUUUAAUAUUCUGAAGAGUUGUAAUUUUUUUUUGACAACAAAUUUUUGGUUACAGGACUGAAUUUAGAAUUUGGAGAUGUUAGAGCAGUUACUGAUCUUCACUAGAGGGGGGUUAAUCCUCUGGACAUGUAAAGAGCUUGGAAAUGCUCUUAGAGGUUCUCCGAUUGAUACAUUGAUUCGUUCAUGUCUUUUGGAGGAACGUUCAGGUGCUGCAUCAUACAAUUAUGAUGUCCCUGGAGCUGCAUACACUCUUAAAUGGACGUUCCACAACGAACUGGGACUUGUUUUCGUCGCUGUGUAUCAACGGAUUCUCCAUCUUUUGUAUGUGGAUGAGUUGCUUGCUAUGGUUAAACAUGAAUUCUCGGAGAUUUAUGAUCCCAAAAAGACUGUCUACAAUGACUUUGAUGCUAUUUUCCAGCAGCUACGCAAGGAGGCUGAGGCUCGUGCUGAGGAUAUCAAGAAAUCGAAGCAGGUGGGAAAGCCCGUCAACGGUAAUCUUGGUAAGAAGCAAGGACAGGUACAAAAGGGCGGUACUGAUGGAGGCAACAAAAAAAAGGGUGAUGGUGAAUCAGGAAACGAUGGUGAUAAAGUGAAAGGCAACGCUAAGGAGAACGGACAUUUUAACGGUAGUAUUGAAAAUGGAGUAGUUAACUGUAAAGAGGACGGGAAUUCCACCGCUGGGGCUUUUGAUGUAAAUAAGCUACAGAAGCUCAGGGCCAAAGGUGGAAAGAAAGUAGAUACUGUUGUAAACAAAGGUUCCAAGGCAGAGCCUACAAAAAAGACAAAGAAGAAUAGAGUUUGGGAUGAUUCACCUUCUAAGCCAAAAUUGGAUUUCACAAAUUCCGUGAGUGAGAAUGGGAAUGAGAACGAGAAUGUAGCAGGUGUGGCAGCAGAACAAGGUGAGAGUAUGAUGGACAAAGAGGAGAUCGUGAGUAGUGAUAGCGAGACGGAGGAGGACGAAGAACCAGGGAAGGAUAGCAAGGUUGAGGCAAAGAAGAAAGGCUGGUUCUCAUCCAUGUUCCAGAGGUAAAUUUCGCUCUCCCUUGAUUGUAGGAACGGUCAAAAUUGCAUUUUGCUAUUUGAAUCACAUCUUGUUUUGUUAAUUACAUUCUUAUAUAAGAUUUGCAUCAGUUGUUUCACGCAAAGAGAAAAGUGGAUACUCAGGUAUAUUCAUUUAAUUGGGAAGUGCACGGGUAUCUUGUAGAUGGGCACCAACAGGUCGAUGUUUUUUUCUCUCAAACUCCUUUAAUAUCACCCAAAUACUUUUUGAGACCCUUGAAUUAUCCUUUGAUUAUGCUCAGAUGUUUUUUUUUCUUCGUGAAAAAUACCCUUGGACGUGUUAGGGAAUUAAAGUUUUGAUUACCUGUUAAUGCUGUUCUGGUAGUUUCUCUGAAGGGAUCCAAAAGCUUUACAUAUACAUUUUGCUAUAAGCUUAAGACAAAGACACAGUAAAUUUAGGUACUCUUAGUUUAUGAAUUAAAUUUGAUUUGACUUGCGAGAAGCAGAAAAAUGUUGCAGAGAAAUAGGGAAACACAUAAGUCCGGUUUCACUUCCAACGUUUUCAUUAUAUUGCACUUGCUUUAUCUAGAAUAGCUAGUUUAAAUUGUCAUUCUUCUGAAUUUCUAUCUCACAGUGAAAUACUUACAUCAUAUUUAAAAUAAUUGGUUGUUGACUUGUGUUUUGUCCUGAUCCGGGGUUCUAUCGGAAACAGCCUCUCUACUUAUUCGGAGGUAGUGGUAUGGACUACGUACGCUUGACCCUCCCAAGAUCCCACUAUGUGGGAAUACACUGGGUAUGUUGUUGACUUCUUGUUGUUGACUUCUUGUUGUUGACUUGUAUGUCUCCAGUAUUGCGGGGAAGGCAAACUUGGAGAGGGCUGACCUAGAACCAGCUCUGAAAGCUCUUAAGGACAGACUGAUGACGAAAAAUGUGGUAAGUUAAAUAGUUAUUUUACACCUACAGUAACAGGAGAUUUUGUUUCAUAGGUGACCAAAAGUUUCUCAGCAGUUCUGCCGUUAAACUUGGUUGACCAAUAUUUUGCUUUUCUACAGGCUGAGGAAAUAGCUGAAAAGCUGUGUGAAUCUGUGACAGCAAGUCUGGAGGGUAAAAAACUUGGAUCAUUUACAAGAAUUUCUUCAACAGUUCAGGUAAAACCUCCCGUAAUUUUCGGAAGUGUUACAUCUUAAUACUAAGUGUUUAUUCCCAACAACUGGAAAAUAAUACAUCAACAACUGCGAUUUAUUCCCAAGUUAUUUUGGGUUGUUUCCCCCUUGCUAUUUGGGCUAUCUCAUUCCACUACUCAAUGAAGACAAAUUAGGGACUCUCUAAAAUUGGAGUUUUUUGAAACCCUGCAACUAUCUAUGCGUUAUCAUAUGAUCAUUAACCAAACUUAAAUUUAUCCUAUUAGACAUUGUUUAUAUGGAUAGUUUGUCUCCAUUUUGUUAUAUUCUUCACAAUGUAUACAUGGAUUCUAAGAAAUUAUCCCAGGCGAUCGUCUCCUUUUUAUUCCUCUAAAUGUGCUAUUGGCACCUUUUGUGGAAUAUGAUCAUUUUUAAAAUCUUUCUCAUUUUGUAUGUCCACAAAUCAUUUUAGCAUAUGCAUCUGUACAAUAUUUAUAUUGAGCCUUCAAGCAUUCACUCCGAUAUCGUAGUGCUGGUUUCUUGCUAAGUAUCCUCUUUUUGACACGACAUUCCCCUAGCGCAGCCCCGUCUAAUCUUCAGUGUCGUUUUCUGGUUGUGUUGAACUGGCAGUGCGUAUAUUCUGUCACGGUCCUACUUAUACUAAAAUCAUCAUUCUCUAGAAUGUUCUCCAAUAAGUAUAACCCCAUCCUUUACACUAUGUUAACUCAUCAACAAUCGAGGUAAACAAGGAUGGCCUCAAGGUCGAUCACUGGUGAACAUUCAGUUAUGGGAAACUACUCUGUGUGCAUCUUCUCCCUUUGCUCUCAUGGUUGUGAGGGUGCCUUCUUACAUAUCCUUUAUGGCAUUUAUGUGUUUGGUAGAAAUUCCUUUCUUAUCUGGCCGUUAAAAGUUUUUCUAAGCCCAAGAUCUUUCAAUUCUCCUUGUCCCUCCCCCUUUCACUGACCCUCCUACAAGUAAAAGAAAAAAGGUUCAAAAAGGUAUGUUAACGCAGAAUAACUGCAUGCAGAAAUUUGGAAAAUCUUCGGUCCAUAUUUUCCUUUUUUGGUCAGGUCGGAACUCUGAACAUACUAAUAUGGUGCACUGAAUUGUUUGAAACAGGCAGCAAUGGAGGAGGCUCUUGUCCGCAUCUUGACUCCCAGACGCUCCAUUGACAUUCUAAGGGAUGUCCAUGCCGCAAAGGAACAAGGAAAGCCAUAUGUUGUGGUUUUUGUUGGAGUUAAUGGGGUUGGAAAAUCGACCAAUCUUGCUAAGGUUAUUAAAUAAGCUUUUAUAUUUUAGUCAAAAUGCCCCCAAAUAUAUACUAAAAGGGCUCAGUGUUGGCCAGUUAAGACUUCCCAUAUCCAAAAGUUGAAGGUGGCGGAAAUGAGGAUGUUGCGUUGGAUGUGUGGUCUUACAAGGGCUGACAGGGUUAGGAAUGAGAUUAUUCGGGAGAAGAUGGGAGUGGUAUCGGUGGAAGAAAAAAUGCGGGAAGCGAGGUUGAGAUGAUUUGGUCAUGUGAUGAGGAGGGGCACGGAUGCCCCAGUUCGUAGGUGUGAGAGACUAGCGUUAGAUGGUUUCAAGCGGGGUAGGGGUAGACCGAAGUAAUACUGGAGAGAAGUGAUUAGACGUGACAUGGAGCAGUUACGUCUCACUGAGGACAUGACCUUGGAUAGGAAGGUUUGGAGGAAAAACACUAGGAUAGAGGGAUAAGGUGGGUGGAUGAAUCGUAGUCCGUAGUUAGGAGGGUUUUGGUGUCUUUUGUUUGGUAUUGUACAUUACUUUUGUGGAUGUUGUAUCUAUGUUAGUUUUAUCAUGAAACAUGCUUUGAAUAUUUUUGUAUAUUGUCCUGUGUCUUGAGCGGGGGGUCUAUUGGAAACAAGCCUCUCUACUUCUUUAGAGGUAGUGGUAUGGACUGCGUACAUUCUACCCUCCCCAGACCCCACUAGGUGGGAAUAUACUGGGUUUGUUGUUGUUGUUGUUGCUCAUCUGCCAUUCUGCAGGUUGCAUACUGGCUUUUGCAGCAUAAGAUCAAUGUCAUGAUGGCUGCUUGUGACACAUUCCGAUCAGGAGCAGUUGAACAGCUACGUACUCAUGCACGUAGACUUCAGGUAUGUCAUGAUAUGGAGUCAAUGAUUAUGAAAAUUCUCGAUUUUUACUGGAUGGAAAUGUUUUUUACAAGCUCUGAUGGCUCAGUUAAAUUUUCUGCUUAUCAGAUCCCAAUAUUUGAGAAGGGCUAUGAGAAGGAUCCUGCUAUUGUUGCUAAGGAAGCAAUUCAGGAGGCUUAUCGAAAUGGGUCCGAUGUUGUUCUUGUUGAUACAGCUGGUCGGAUGCAGGUAAACUCGAAGUUUCAUACCUCAACAGUUAUAACAUGUCUUUGUUCCCUUGGGGGCUCUACGAGUUCUGACUUCUACGUAGUAUGAGUGGAAUGUGGUGAUUGGUUAUUGUGUUAUUUUCUUUAACCCCUUUUUUGUUUAAUCUUCCACUUCGUUAGUGUUUACACCGACGUGUCGUGUUCUACAGGAUAACGAACCGCUGAUGCGAGCAUUGUCAAAGCUUAUAUAUGUCAACAGUCCAGAUCUGGUCCUUUUUGUUGGGGAGGCACUCGUCGGCAAUGAUGCAGUAGACCAACUGUCGAAGUUCAACCAGGUUUGCUUAUACAUAGUUAUGACACUUUUGCUUUCAUAGUUUCUUAGUAACCUGCAUCUUAUGUUGUGCUUGAUGCUUCAUUUUUCUUGCAGAAAUUAGGUGACCUCUCCCCUUCACCAAAUCCAAGGUUAAUCGAUGGAAUUCUGCUGACCAAGUUUGACACUAUCGAUGACAAGGUAUACGAUUUGGUCAAUUCCAUCAUAAAAAAGAUUUAUCAUGUCUUUUUUCCUAUCCAGAUAUGUAGCAUUAACUUAUGGUCACUAAAGUUAUCAUUAUAACAGUGAAAUCACUUAACUACUAGUAUUUUUUGUCCAAAUUAAAGUAACUGAACUUGCCCACUACGUUAGUAAAAUCACUAAACUUUUCCCAACGACAAAACUAACCCAUUAUGCAUACUUUACUGUUAAUCUGUUAUAGUUGAUUAACUUUUAUGGCUUCAAUCUUAUAGUAAAAUUUAGUUACUUCAAUGGGGCGAAAAAUAGUCUUGACUAUUGUUAUAGCGGGGAAGUUCAGUGAUCAUCCAUGAAAGUAAAAGUAACCCUGUUUUUGCAUGUAGGAGCAUUAUUCUUGUAGCUCCCUAUCCUUCGGUUCAUGUUACUACAUUUUAUUUCUUGAGUUUCGGUUAUCGCGGUAUUUUGCUAUUGUUACUGUUCCUUUUCUAACACUUCUCUUAUAAUUUACUGCCUUCUUUGAUUUUAUAUUUUUCUUUUCUACUGGCUUUGAUAUAUGCGUUACUUGAGCCGAGGGUCUUUUGGAAACAACCUCUCUACCUCCACGANNNNNNNNNNNCCGCCCCCCCCCCCCCCCCCACCUGUGCGAUUGCACUAGCUAUGUUGUUGAUUUGAUUAGCAUCCUCAUAAUCAUCCUUGUUCGUUCAUAGGUGGGUGCAGCAUUAUCCAUGGUAUACAUAUCCGGGGCACCGGUCAUGUUUGUGGGAUGUGGACAGUCAUAUACAGACUUGAAGAAGCUGAAUGUCAAGUCCAUUGUCAAGACACUGCUCAAAUGAGAACUUCAUGUCUUUCUUAAAACUUUGUUUGGCUUCAAGAUGUUGUCCUUGUUGAGAAAAUGAACACUUUGUAAUGUUUGUUUGCUGCAAUUUGUGUGUACACUCUUCCCAUCUGUGAUCUCACUGAUUUUGACUUCUAAGUUGAAUCAAAUCUUGGAAACAAACUCCUCUUUUUGUCUUAUGAGAUUUAAGUUAUAUACAUAGACAAUGUAACUUUUGUACAUUAUGUUGGGCUCAGCUUGCCCAAAGACUGUCGGCUUUGGGCUUAAGUCCACACGGUUUUGUCCAAAAAAGAUCUCACGCCAUUAAGAGAUCGUACAUCGUAUAUGUAGCUUCCUAGUUCCUUCAGCUACCAGUGUGGCCCAUCACCACGAUUCACUGGUCAAUUUUUGAGAUUCAUUGUACUGUGGUGCUACCCACAUCCAACAAUCUUUCCCUCGAAUUAAGUUCGGCGUGGUCCGUCACCAGCACGAUCCACGAGGUCAUCGUAAUUCACUAUACUGUGUGUUGUUUUGAGUAUUUAUGGCAGUUGAAGCCCACAACUACUUUUCGUAUGUGCAUUUCCAAGCUCGUAAGGUUAAGCAAAUCGAGCACGACACGCAUCACUCCACCACAUUUCCAUACUCGCCGAAUUUGGGCUCUGAUACUAGUUGUCUCAACUAGCCCAAAGACUCUUGCAUGGUGUGAUGUUUUAAGAGAUCCUACACCUUAUAUGUAGCUUCCCAGUUCCUUCAGCUACUAAUGUGGGACUUUGGUUCGCAACGCCAACAUAUUACUAUGUCAGUUUUAUUUUGUUGUAGCUGGUAACGCAACUUCUGAGACUACUUAUGGAGGAGAUUAUAGCAUGUUUAGCCACGCUUUUGAAAGGUCAAAAAAGCUUAUUUUAGAGAAUGAAUGUAUUUGAGUUGCUACUUUGAAUUACUUCACUCAAGCAAAGGGUCUUUUGACAAUAGCCAGUGUAAGGUCUGUGAUCCAGCCCAUUCUCUGAAUCCUAUGCAUAGUGAAAGUUUUAGUGUAUCGGAUUGUCCUUUGGGAUUUGGCUCAACGAAUGGGAGUAAAAGCACUUCUAAUCAAGAAAAGCUACACUAGUUUCCAAGUCAUGAAACAAAAGCUUGUAAGAACUCAUACCACCAAAUGGCCACUAAUUUACUCAAACGACUCUUGGAUCCCGUGUUAGCAGGGUGCAGGAAAGGGCCGCACCCCAAUAAUGAUGAGUUAUUGAAUAACAAUAUGCAUAGGGUUUUCACAAAACAAUGUCUUUUUAAUGUAAGUUACAAACACAUGAAAAAGAAAUUGUUAUAACAUAAGAGCCCCAACAUUUAAGAUCAAAUGACCAUUUCAUGCUUAGACCAUAGCGCCUAGGCUCAAAUAAAAAUGAACUUCUAAUGUAUGUUGCUCGGGCUCUUCAAGAAAUGUCAUCAGGUGCGUGUCGAAUCCCUCUGAAGUAGUGCAAUUUUGAAGGAUCCGACACGGGCGUGACAACAUUUUUGAAGAGUCCAAGCAACUUAGGUUCUAAUGUUCUUCUGAACUAAUCAACACUGGCCAACAAUUAAUAGCUAUUAGAGUUGAAAGUAAUGUUGAAUUGAAGUUUGGAUCACUAUUUUUUGAGAAAAUAACUUAUUUUUAAUAUGAAAAUGAAUCAAAGAAGAAAUUGUCAAACAACUCUUAUUUGGUAUCUAUACAACUAUAGUUGCCUUAGUGUGUCAAAAGUUAAAUAUUCCAAGCAUAUUUUAAGUAAUAUUUUUAGGCACUCAUGUUUGCAUCUUUUAUGUGCUAAAGUUGAGAAUAUUUGAAUUGAUUUGCCAUUAUACAUAUCAUCAAAGGUUGGAUGGAGUGACAAGUACUCUGAUGUUGCAUUCAAAGUGGGAUUUUAUAAGACGAAUUGAGAUUAGUUGGGUCUCAAAAUAGAUAUCAGUCACCGGAUGGAAAACCAAAGAUCAUACGCUCAUACUUGGCUUCAGAUGGUAAGUAAACACUCUAACUUUGAAAGUGUACGUCUUGACAGCUCAACUUGGUUUCAACUGACAACUAAACACUCUUACUCAUUCUUAUUGUGUCUCGUGGACGCUCGAUAUUGGCAUGAAAUAUAAAUCUGAAGGUGUCUAGCUGAUUAUUUUAUAAGUUGAAAUAUUCAACUAAGAGUAUAUGGUUCUUAUGACAUUAUAAUAUGAUAUUUUCUUGAUAAAAUAUUACAAGAUUGCCAAAAAAUAAAAUAACAUAAAAACACAUGGCAAAUUUCAUCAUUAAUCCGUUGUAGUCUAGUUGGUUAGGAUACUCGGCUCUCACCCGAGAGACCCGGGUUCAAGUCCCGGCAACGGAACUCUUUUUCAGUAAAGUUCCAACUUCUUCGCUUCCUUAUGCCGGUACUCGUGUCAGAUCCUCUAAAAAUGUACUACUAAACAAUCCCACACACCCUCCUUGGCGGCAUUUUUGAAGAGUCCAACCAAUAUAACUUUCGACUUCAUUUUGCCUGCAGUUGUAGUAAUGGUUGUUCCAUUUCAACUGAACCUACUAAUACAUAUACAUAUACUUUGUGAUCUCUAAUCUUACUAUAUCAAUGGAGACAGCGCGAAAACUAAGAAAUAGAUCCCGAGGCAUCCUUUUUAACCGGGCUAUAGCUGCCGUAAAUGUAAGAGCCAAAUCCCCAGAAUGUAAUAAUCAACGAGAGGAUCUUGAAACCGCUCAUAGGAUCAUGCAACAAUAUCACGGCUGCAACGCUAGUAAUUGGCACUCUUACCGCGUUAAGUACACCAGCCAUGACAGUGGAGGAGAGGAAAACAACUGCGGUGGCUCCCAAGACUCCCAACUGGAAAGUGAUAAUCCCCCAAAUAAUAACUGAGUAAUACGCGUUUUCCCCACCCUCGAAUGUAGUUGCCUCGUAUUUCAUCCCAUGGAAACCGUCACUCACAACGAGUCCGAUUGUUGUAAAUAUAAAGCCGAAUAGGGAAACCAUGAGUUGCUGCUCAAGAACAACAAGGAAGGACCUUUUACCAAGUAACUUGACGAAAACUAACUCAGACAAGGCGAAAAUAAGGCCAUGUAGUGCAGAUCCCAGUAUAUCCCACACGAAACCCAUAAUGUACUGACGGUUGGUGAUAUAUCCAUACCUGUCUGAACUAGAAUCAAGAGCAAUGAUCGUCAUGGCAGCAGUAAUGAUCACGAUUGAAUUUAUAAUUGAUAGAUUCAUAGUAUUUUUCACGAGAAGAUAUCCGAAUAGUGCAGAAAACACCAGUGAAGUCGAGGCUACAAGAGCAGCAGUUGAUGCUGGCAGGUAGGCAUAGGCAUAUGCAUACAUGAGGUUAUCGGCAGCAGUCAAGAAUCCCAAUACAACAUAAGAUAAAGUAAGUUUUAAGUCAAGUGGCGUCGGGAACAUUUUAAGAAAGAAGUACGAAGGAAUUAGGACUAUCGCGAUUAGAGGCCAUCCUGCAACUGAAACCCAUGAAAUUAUCCACUUGCUCUUUCCACCAUUUGCAAAAUAUAUACGGGACAAGAGACUAGAAGCGGGGAAUGCAACAAGCAUCCCCAUGCUACUUAGAAACAGAAGAAUCCAGUGUGAAAUUGGUUUGCUGUAAUACAUUUCGCAAAGCAUGGUCCAAUAAGCUGAUAUAUAUUGCCAUACUGACUUUGGUGGCGCUUCAUCCAUUAUUUCCUCUACAAGAAACCAUUCGUCAUAGAGAAAUGUCAAUUUUCAAAAAAAAAUGAUAUGAGGAAAAGAGUAUUUGAUCAUAGGAAUAAAAUAACGAAUGACUCAUAAGUAGCAUUCAAUAUAAAAGAGAAACCGAAACAUGGCGUAAAACAACCAUACAACAACAACAUACACAGUAUAAUCCCACAAGUGGGGCCGGGGAAGGGUAGAGGAGUACGCGGACCUUAACCCUGCCUUCACAGGUAGUUGACAUAAAACAACUACAACAACAACAACAACAACAACAUACCCAGUAUACUCCCACCAAGUGGGGUAGUGGACAUAAAACAACUACGACCACAAAAUGCUCGACACCCUUGAAGUAACUCACUUUUUGAACUUCCUUAGCUUCUUUGGUACAUAACUACCUUAUGAUCUAUGCAUAAAGCACAUUUGUACAGGUAUCUUCUGAAAUGAGGAUAUGCAAAUGAAUAACCACUUAAUACUUAAGGACUUGAAUAAAUAUAGAUAUUAGCAGUCUAAAUCGUAUUGCAAUCUCAACCUAAAACUAAAAGUUUCAGUUGCCCAACCACGGACAGAAUGUGAAACUCAAUAUAUGCUGUGUGUAUUAGAUACUUAUCCUCAGGGCCGGAGCUAGAGUAUAGCUUAUGGGUUUGGUCAAAACCAGUAGCUCUGGUUCAAACCCUAUAUUUCUAUUACGAAAUCCAUUGAAUAUAGAAACCAAUAACUUCAAAGGACUACAUCCCGAACUCAUAUUCUUUGAAUCCUAUCUCCACCUCCGCCUAUCGGCCCUAUACUUAAUUUCUGCCAAGGCGGGAUGAUCCGUAAAAAGUCGCUGAAAUUGACAAUAGCAAGAGUGUCGCAGCUCCCAGAUCUGGAGAUCCCUACUAUCGAACUCGAGCUCCAAUAUUUGUUCUAAAGGUCUUCGUUUCCGUGUAGAAGCAAACUCUCCAAAUUUAUGACCAACAUUUCGUUCAGUAAUCUUACAACAAACAGAUUAAACUUAUCGUAUACAACUCUUAUCUACGACAAGCCUUAGCACUUCUCCUUAUGAACUCUUCGCUCUAUCUGUCGGUGCUCUAGCUGUCCGAAAACCAGGAGCAGCUACUGGUCUGGACUGAUCGUAAAGAAAGAAGCCAAGAGGCCGUCAGAGAAAGGCUUGCGUUUUCGAUAGCUCAGAGUUAGGUAUCCAUUGCCAUAGGUCCUAGAGGUUUGAAACUUUUACCAGACAACUAUACUGCAAACAAUUUUACCCUCCAUUAGGAAGUGGUCCCGAAACUAUCCCCGUCUCCGUUAGUCCAAAAGGGAAAUUCUGAGCCUUCGAUACCACCUUCUAACAGAGGAUAAAAUUGUUCCAUUCCGUAUAGUCUAGGAGCAGUUUUCAACCUUCGCCAUAAAUUCAUUUACGGAGCUUUAUUGAGCUCUUAGUCAACAACAACAACAACAACAUACCCAGUGUAAUCACACAAAAUAGGGUCUGGGGAAGGUUGGUGUAUGCAGACCUUACUCCUACCUCGGAGGUAGAGAGGUUGUUUCCGAUAGACCC
rnacentral:lncRNA from 1 species